CCCAUUCCAUAUAAUCCGAUACUGCUUACCUGCUCUCCAUCAUCUUGGAGCCAUUUCCAGACCUUCCCAAACAACAAAUCUUGGCCCACAGUCUUGUCCAGAGGCCUCUCGAUCACGGGAGGACUAGGGAAAGGUUCAGCAACUACACUGAAAUUUGAGCCCUCCGUCUUCUUUACCGUCACAGCAUCCAUCUUUUCAAGUACCAUCUUGCCAAGCUUGUAGCUAGCGCCACAGUUUUUAGGACAACAGGUUCCGAGACAUUUCUUCUGGAUUUCUUCAUCACCUUUGGCCAAUAUUUCCUUCACUUGUUCUUCCAUGGCUUCUACAUUGCGGAGCCAGCCAUCGACUACAUGAGUACGCUUCUUCUGAAGUUUCUCUUCACGUUCCACCCUUUCCUUCACAUCUUUGUAUAGGUUCUUGAGUUCCCCCAUUGCAGUUCUCAAAGAGUUGAGAUUUUGUGGGAGAUGACGGAUGUAAACAGCACGCUUGGCAGUGCAAUCCCACAAGCGAGUAGCGACAUCCAGGAUUGGGCUCACACAAUCCAUGGGGAAAACAAGGACUGGGAUUCAAAGCCAAGAAGAACUUAAUCAGAACAAGAAAACAGGUUGGGGAGGAAAAGACUCAGCAAUCAAUGUCAAUGGGUGAGAUUGUGGUUGGAAGAUUGAAUGGUUUAAAAAAUUAAUGUACUGGCUACAUAAGGGUCCACCACUACAUAAUACCAAUAAAAAAUGUCAUUCUUUUCCACGUACAGACUGUGUAAAGAUGAAUAAAAGACUCCACCACUGGUGAUACAUAGACUAGGAUAAAAAAUUAAUAAACUGAAUACAUAAUGCCAAUAAAUCAUCGUCUUCUAUGUGCAGGCUGUCAAGCACUAUCAAGAUUAAUAAAAGACUCCACCAUUUGUGAUACAUAGAGAAUGGUAUAAAAAAUUAAUAAACUGAAUACAUAAUGACAAUAGAUAAUGUCACACUCUUCCAUGUACAGACUGUCAAGCUCUGUAACAAUUAAUAUAAGACAGUAUGCAUGUUAGAGUACUUAUUUAUUUAGAAGUUUUAUUUAGUUACUAUUUUUCUAGAGUAUGGGUAAGGUUGUAUUUUUUUCCUCUUAUUAUAUUUAUUUAAAUUUUAAUGGUAUUUUAUUUUAUUUAAAAAACUGUUCUAGGAAAUCCUAAAUUUUUUUUUUCUCUUUAAAUCUUUUGGAUUUCACAUGGUAUCAUGGCAAAAUUGAUUUUUUUAAUAAGACUUGAUUUAUAAUUUCAUAGAAAAGAGUUUAAUUAAUCUCAUACACUUGCAAACAAAGUUUAUUCAUAUUCGUUUGAUCGUGAAAUUCUCUUUUGUCGUAUUUAAUCAUGGGAUAUCAUAAUGGAUGAUCGCAUCAUUUUUUUUUUUCUUAUUUGAUCCAUUAUUGAAAUAGCUUUUCUAGUUGUAUUUUCAACUACUCUACCCAUUUCAUAAAAUAUUCUUCCUGCUUUAACUACGAUUGUCCACUAUUCAGGAGAUCCUUUCCUCGAACCCAUACAUCUUUCCAUAGGUUGGAUGGUGAUUGUUGAUUGAUAUAUUAUGAUAAAAUUCAUUCAUUCAUUCAUUCAUUUUCUUUUAAUUUCUAUGAGGGGAUGAAAUAUAUUUAAACUCAAACUUAUGUUUCAUAUAUUAUGCUUAAUUUUUUUUCCUUUUUCUUUAUUUCUCAUCUUUUUAUUUUUUUCAUGUCUUUCAGGAUCCCAAAAGCAACUGUGUAUUAAUCGUAAAUCAGUGGAUAUAUAGCAAUAUAAUGGUUAUAAUAUAUUUACAUUAAUUAUGAGAAACUUCAAUGAUGUUUGUUUUUUUAUUGAACAGGAAAAGUUAAAAUAUUUUAUUUUUUUAUUUAGUUAAAAGUAAUUUGCUGAUAUCAAUUAAUAUAAUUAAAAUGAACUUGUUAUUCAUAGGUCCAAUCUAAUUAUAUUGGACGAUAUCAAUAGAUUACUAUUAAUGAAAAAACCAAAUACUUUGACUUUUUUUAUUCAAUCAAAAAACAAAUAUCACUUUCUAAAUUAUAUUUGGUUUAGAAAGGUAUUAAGAAAAGAAAAAAUAUUAAGAAAAAUAAUUUCUUCAUGAAUGGUUGUAAACUGAAAAAAAAAAAUCAAAUAUAAUUAAAAUUAAUAAGAAAUUUAUAUAUUUUAAAAUUAUUUAAUUUUAUAUAAAAAAUUUAAAAUAACAUAUAAAAAAUAAUUUAUUGACUUUAAAUUUAUUUUUUUAUUUUCCUUCAUUUUUUCUUUUCCUCUAUUUUUUCUACCUUUUUACUUUUUUUUUUUUGAUAUUUUCUCUCAAUUUUUUCCAAAAUAAAAAAUAGUCAUAAUUUUUUGUUAUCCCAAAUUUGGUCAAUUAUGAUCCAAUACUGUGAAACCAAAAUUUGCAUAUGGUGGGAGGAUGACAUAUAAGCUUCACUAGUUACUUCAUCCACAUAUAAAAAUUAUUAAAAAAAUUAAUUGAAUAUAACUUAUCAAUUUUUGUGGAAAUGAAUAGCUAAACUGACGAUCCAAUAAGGGUUUUAGAAGGAUAUAGAAAUUUCUAAUAAACAUCCUUCAUUUUUCAUAAUAUUACGAGCAUGCCACUAAAAUUGUCAAGAAGUAAAUUCAGCAUUAAAUUCCAAAAAAAAAAAAAAAAGGAGGUCAAUCAGUAUUGGAACUACAAGACCCAAUGCUGAUGGGAUAAAUACAAACAAUACACAACCAGGUUUUAUCCCCUCUUAUGAGAACCUAAUAGGAAUCAAUCCAAUAGAGAAGCAAGAAUUCACUCAAUCAACAAGCAUAUGAAUACCAAUAAUUUUAGCAUGGAAAACCUUCUCCAAUAUGAGAAGUAAAAACCACGGGACCCUUAGGCCACUUAAAAACUCCACUAAUAUAAUUAAUGGGUUACACAAUUCUCUCUAGAUAAAACUAAAGGCAUACAUCCACCAUAUCUUAAGACAAAUUGAUCUUGACAAUUUCAACAACUUUGCAUAAAAACAAUGGAGAGAUCUCACCAAACACACCACUAUUCUCGAACUGAAAGAUAACUUUUUCGAACUCCAAAUCCAAUCUCCACCGUUAGAAUGAAGAUCAAUGAGUCACGAAUGUGUUCUCCAAAAAUCGGCUCAAUCGAACUACAUAUUAACCUUGAUUGGAGUUCAUGAUCAAAACUGUCCGGAUAGAAAACACAUCAAAAUGGAGGCUCUGUUCUCGGACAGAAAGAUGACUUUUUAGAUCUCCAAAUCCAAUCUCCACCGUUCAGAAUGAAAAUCAAUGAGUCACGAACCUCUCCUCCAAAUUUCAAGUCAAUCGGCCCACAGAAAAAGCGGGAUCGGACAUUUGAUGAAAUCUGGGCAGUGAAGAAAAAACUUGAAUUUUUCUCUCUAACUUCAAAAAUGGUGGUUCUCUCUUUCUCUUUCUUUUCUCCUACCUCUGGUGGCUGCAAAAAAUUAGAAGACGAAGAAGAAGAGGGAUUAUUUUUCUAGCCCUUUUAUAUAAAGGCCUAAGAGGCCUUAAAUUUUGGGCUCUUAAUUUGGGCCUUCCACAUGAGGAAAAAAACCUAGCAAAUCUCCCCUUUUCUGAUUAUGUGGAGGGACUCGCCAUCCUGGCGAUUGAACAACAAACUUCAAGCUUCUCCCUUGGUAAGGACUUCGUUAACAUAUCUGAGCCAUUGUGAUCGGUAUGUAUCUUCUCAAGUUCAAAUAAGUUGUCAUUGAGAGCAUCUCUCAUCCAAUGAUACCUCACAUCAAUGUGCUUCGAUCUUGCAUGAAAAGUAGAAUUCUUACUAAGGUGAAUGGCGCUCUGGUUAUCACAGUAUACGACAUAACACUGCUGCUUAAACUCGAGCUCAUGUAUGAAACGCUUCAUCCACAACGACUCUUUACAUGCUUCUGCUGUUGCAAUGUACUCUGUCUCUCUUGUAGAAAGUGCAACACAUUUCUGUAGUCUUGAUUGCCAAGAUAUAACACCUCCUGAGAAUGUCAUCAAAUAGCCUGAAGUAGACCUUCUAUUAUCUACAUCCAUUGCCAUAUGUGAAUUAGUGUAGCAAACAAGUACUAGUUUCCCAUUUCCAAAAGUGAGUUUCAACUUGGAAGUGCCCCGCAAAUAUCUCAUAAUCCACUUGACUGCCUCCCACUGUAGUCUUCCUGGAUUAGAUAGAAAGCGGCUAACAAUAGCAACUGCAUAAGCUAUGUCUGGUCUAGGACAUACCAUGACAUACAUCAAACUUCCUAUUGAUGAGGCAUACGGAACUCUUCUCAUGUCUUCCUUCUCUUUAUCUGUAGAAGGGUUAUGUUGUUGCUUAGCUUAAAGUGACUAGCUAGAGGAGAACUAACCACUUUAGCUUUGCUCAUGUUAAAUCUUCCAAGCACUUUUUCAAUAUAUUGCUCUUGUGACAUAUACAGCUUCUUGGAUGCUUUAUCUCGCUCAAUUCUAAUACCAAGAAUUUUCUUUACUGGCCCCAAAUCCUUCAUGGAAAAGGAUUUGCUUAACUACUUUUUCAGCUUAUCAAUUCUUAAAACAUUUCUGCCAACAAUCAAGAUAUCAUCAACAUAGAGCAACAAUAUAACAAAAUCAUCAUUAGAGAAUUUCUGCACAAAUACACAAUGGUCAGAAGUAGUUUUUCUGUAGCCUUGCUCUCCCAUAACUGAUUCAAACUUCUUAUACCACUGCUUUGGUGCCUGCUUUAAGCCAUAAAUACUUUUCUUUAAUUUACACACAUAAUCCUCUUUUCCUUUUAUUAUGAAACCCUCUGACUGUUCCAUAUAAAUUUCUUUGUCUAAAUCACCAUGGAGAAAUGCAUUCUUAACAUCCAUCUGCUCAAUCUCCAAAUCAAGACUAGUUGCCAAGCCUAAAACUACACGAAUAGACAACAUCUUAACAAUAGGAGAAAAAAUCUCAUCAAGCUUACCUGUGGAGAUUAAAUUCAUGCGGAUAUUUGGAAUGUGUUUGACAUUAUUCAAAAUCAACAUAGUACCAUUUCUAGUCUCCAAACACACAUCUCCCAUACCAAUGGCUUUAGCUGAGCCAUCAUUACCCAUCCUAACACUUCCAAAGUCACUAGAUGUGUAGGAUGUAAAGAAAUCUUUCCGAGGUGUAGCAUGGAUUGAGGCACCGCUAUCAAUCACCCAACUAGUCUCCUGGCAAGCAAAAUUAACAACAUCACUAUCAUAAACAAUAAGGAAAUCUGAAGUGGUAGUGGCAACUCGAUCAUCUUCAUCAUCAUUGUCAUUCUUCUUGUCCUUCACUUUCCCUUGUUUCAUAUCUCUCUUCAAUUGGCGACAAUACUUUCUUAUAUGGCCUUUUAAAUGGCAAUAAUGACACUCAACAUUGGAAAACUUGUUAGUCUUGCUUUUGCUGCUGUUUCUAUUCUUCAGACCUCUACUUUUACUCCUCCCUUUCUUUUCAGUAACUAGGACAUCUGACUAUGAAGAAGAACCCUAUGACUUUCUUCUCAUCUCUUCAUUCAGAACACAACUCUUAACCAAAUCCAUAUUCAUAGUACCAUCCGGGGUUAAGUUAGACAAGGAAGUUCUAAAUGUCUCCCACAAGUCCGGCAAUGUACCAAGAAGCCACAACCCUUGCACUUCUUCCUCAAACUUGAUAUUCAUUCCAGCCAACUGAUUAAUAAUACCUUGGAAUGUAUUCAAGUGAUCUGUCAUAGGAGUUCCAUCUUGAUACUUCAAGCUAAUCAUCUUCUUGAUCAUAAACAACUUAUUAUUACCAGUCUUUCGAGCAUAUAACUGUUCGAGCUUGUUCCAUAAACUAUGUGCAUUUUUCUCUUCACUAACAUAAUUGAGAACAUUAUCAUCUAUUUACUGUUUGAUAUAACCACAAACCUGCCGAUAAAGUAAAUUCCAUUCUGCAUCAGUUUUAUUUUCUAGUUUUUCAGAAGCAAACACAGGCAAAUAAUAAUCCUUCACAUACAAUAAGUCUUCCAUCUUUCCUUUCCAAACAUGAUAAUUGGAGUCAUUCAGGGUAAUCAUUCUACUUAUAUUGCUUUCCAUUGUUCUACACAAGACACAGAUUAUAUUGAACUUGGCUUUGAUACCACUUUGAUGGGGUAAAUACAAACAAUAAACAACUAGGUUUUAUUCCCUCUUGUGAGAACCUAAUAGGAAUUAAUCAAGUAGAGAAGCAAAAAUUCACCCAAUCAACAAGCAUAUGAACACUAAUAAUUUUAGCGUGGAAAACCUUCUCCAAUAUGAGAAGUAAAAACCACGGGACCCUUAGGCCACUUAAAAACUCCACUAAUAUAAUUAAUGGGUUACACAAUUCUCUCUAGAUAAAACUAGAGGCAUACAUAACCAUAUCUCAAGACAAAUUGAUCUUGGCAAUUUCAACAACUUUGCAUAAAAACAAUGGAGAGAUCUCACCAAACAUACCACUGUUCUCGGACUGAAAGAUAACUUUUUUGAACUCCAAAUCCAAUUUUCACCGUUCAGAAUGAAGAUCAAUGAGUUACGAAUGUGUUCUCCAAAAAUCGACUCAAUUGAACCACGGAUUAACCUUGAUUGGAGUUCAUGAUCAAAACUGUCCGGAUAGAAAAUGCAUCAAAAUGGAGGCUCUGUUCUUGGACUGAAAGACGACUUUUCGGAUCUCCAAAUCCGAUCUUCACCGUUCAGAAUGAAGAUCAAUGAGUCAGGAACCUUUCCUCCAAAUUUCAGGUCGAUCGGCCCACAGAUGAAGCGGGAUCGGGCCUUUGAUGAAAUAUGGGCAGUGAAGAAAAAAAUUGAAUUUUUCUCUCUAACUUCAAAAAUGGUGGUUCUCUCUUUCUCUCUCUUUUCUCCUACCUCUAGUGGCUGCAAAAAAUUAGAAGAAGAAGAAGAAAAGGGAUUUUUUUUUCUAGCCCUUUUAUAUAAAGGCCUAAGAGGCCUUAAAUUUUGGGUUCUUAAUUUGGGCCUUCCACAUGAGGAAAAAAAACCCAACAAAUGCCUGUCCCAAAACUAAGAACAACUAAGCCUAACCUUGGACUGAAGGCAGCAAUGCUCUUUCUUCUACUUUGAAUUGCUCCCAUCAAGUGCUGGAAGAGACCCGGAAAGAACCUCAGCUGCCAACUCCAAAUUCCUCUGUUAUGAUCAAUGGAGGCACCAGCCUCACAACAUUCCCCUUUCUAGUGGUGAGCACUAGGAAGCCGGCUUCUCGAUAGGCAUCCACUAGCGGCGAGGCCUAGACGUCAAGCUCAAUCCCAACAAUGAGCCCAAGCCCACGUACUUCUUUCACAUGUGGGUUAUGUCCCAACUUUUGGGUUAAAAUUUGCUUCAAGUGUUGGCCCUUCUUGGCGGCGCUAGCUAAGAAGCUGGGUUCUGAGAAUUUUUCAAGGACAGCAAGAGCAGCGUUGCAGAUAAGGGGGCUGCCGGAAAAAGUGCUUCCAUGGUCACCGAAGUUUAUGGCAGAAGCAACUCGUUCGGUGACUAGAACAGCACCGAUAGGUAAGCCUCCAGCAAGAGGCUUGGCAAGUGUCAUUAUGUCAGGGAAUACACCAUAGGACUCAUGAGCCCAGAGGUGGCCUGUUCGGCCUAGACCACAUUGAACCUAUAGAACAGGAUCAGAACAUGAUCAAGAUAGAAAAAUUGAACAAAUAAUUAGAGGACAAGAAGUAUGAAUUGAUGGGAUAAACACAAACAAUGCACAACCAGAUUUUAUCUCCUAUUGUGAGAACCUAAUAGGAAUUAAUCAAAUAGAGUAACAAGAAUUCACCAAAUCAACAAGUAUGUGAACAUCAACAAGUAUAUGAACACCAACAAUUUUUAACGUGGACAACCUUCUCCAAUGUGAGAAGUAAAAACCACAGGAUCCUUAGGCCACUUAAAAACUCCACUAAUAUAAUCGAUGAGUUACACUAUUCUCUCUAGAUAAAACUAGAGGCAUACAUAAACCAUAUUUCAAGACAAAUUAAUCUUGGCAAUUUCAACAACUUGACAUAAAGACAAUGGAGAAAUCUCACCAAACAUAGUUAUUAUUCUUGGACUGAAAUAUAAUUGUUUCGAACUCCAAAUCCAAUCUCCACCGUUCAGAAUGAAGAUCAAUGAGUUUUGAACGUGUUCACCAAAAAUCAGCUCAAUCGAACCAUGAAUUAACCUUGAUCGGAGCUUAUGAUAAAAAAACGUCCGGAUAGAAAACUCACCAAAAUAGAGGCUCUAUUCUCGAAUUGAAAGAAGACUGUUCGGAACUCCAAAUCCGAUCUCCACUGUUCAAAUUGAAGAUCAAUGAGUCACGAACCUCUCCAAAUUUCAAGUUGAUCGCCCCACAGACAAAGCGGGAUUAGACCUUUGAUGAAAUUUGGACAGUGAAGAAAAACUAAGUUUUUCUCUCUAACUUCAAAAAUGAUGGUUCUUCCUUUCUCUCUCUUUUCUCCUUCUACUUUUUUUUUUCUUUUUACCUCCGGUGGCUGCAAAAAAUUGGAAGAAGAAGAAGAAGAAGAGGGAUUCUUCUUCUAACCCUUUUAUAUAAAGGCCGAAGAGGCCUUAAAUUUUAGGUUCUUAAUUUGGGCCUUCCACAUGAGGAAAAACCCAACAUGAAUUUGGUUUAAAACUGAAGGCUGUUGGAGCGACAAACAAAAUGAAAUAGAGUAUUCACACAGAAUAAAUCUCAAAUGCAGUCUCAUCACCUUUGGACACUUCUGCUUUUCAGAGACAAAAUCCUCUACUGUUUUUCAUUCUAGUUGGGAUUCAGCAAACAAUGCAGUGUGCUUUUAUGUAUUAAUUCCCUAACUGCAUAAUAAAUGGAAACUGGAUUCUGACAUCAACUUGUUUUUUAUUUCAAAUCAUAUUUGGUUUGGGAAUUGGAGUUAGGAAGAAAAAAACACCUUCACCUCACUCAUUUAAACAUAAAAGCAAUAAUGGCGAUUUAGGGAUCCAUCUAUAGAAUUCCUAUCUUUUUUGUAUCUUUUCAUGCAGCAAGGAUUUUAAUUUUUCUGUUUUCCUUUUUAAUUUCUUAUGGGGUUGGGAGUGCAAACAAUUCUUCCUAGUCUAGACAUCAUCCCAAUAUCUUCUGGAAAACAUUAUUCAUUAACGAAGUAGUGAAGCAGAAAGUUUCUACCUGAAAUGAGUUGAGGCCUAGCAGUUAAGCGGACAUCUAAAGAAGGUAAACCAAGAGACACCAGAUUGAGGCAAAUACCCAAUAUGCGCACCAAACGUAAAAGCUAUGAAAUCAAAUAUAAGGGGAUUGAAAAACGACUUUCACAGAUAUUAUUUUCUGAUAUAAUACAGUAGGUUUUAGGAAAAUCCGACCAUAAAAUAAAAUCCUUGCAUACAAGUACUGAAAAAAUUAUCUUCAAUUUGGCUGUUUCCAAUCAAGCAAUAUAGGCAACAUGAAAUAUGACUCACUACACUCACUUGAUGCCAGAAAGGUCUUAGUAUGAGGGAAAUAUUGUGGUUCCUUAAAAUUCUUCAAUGCUGGUAUCCCACAAUGGUAUCCUCUGCGUCUCUUUCCAUUCUUCAACUUCAUGAGCUGUGUGUAUCAGGGAAAUAUGUGAAAUCAUUCUCCAUCUUCAACUGCUGCAUCAACGGCAGAAGGAAAUGUAGAAGGAAGAAGUUGAUUCCAAUUAUUCUCCUUUGUUUUGUGGUUUUGCAUUAAAGAAACACAUCCCAACAGCCUGACAGAUAAUGCUUAUGAAAAAUAAAAUAAAGAGACAUGAUGAAGUGAAAAGAGGAUUAUCCCAAUGAAUGAAGCAAAUGUAUUCUCUUGAUUUUCAGUUGAUGCUUUGUUUUCCCUGUUUUAGCUCCUUAAAACUCUUUCUUUCAGCUGCACUCUAAAAUCCUCUGAAUUUUCACCUUCUUUCCCCCAAUGCUCCUUAGGAUUUACAGUAGGCAACCUCCCAAUAUUUGAUUUUGGGUAUCAAUUUCAUAGUUCUAAGAUUUAAAAUUCCAAUUUUUUUUUUCCUUACAUUAAUUUUCUCAACAAAUAAGUAGUUUAUCAUCUUCUACUUUUAUGAAGUCAACCAAAAUCUCAAACAGAGCACCUACAAAACCACAAAAAAGGAAAGGGAUAAAAAAAGUGAAAAACUGCCAAUUCGUGCUUCCUUUCAAUAAUACAAAAGCGUUGAAUCUAUAUUUAUCAUCAUCUUCAAGUUUUAUGGCAUAGGCUGUCAAGAGACUAAUGAAAGUAAAACAAAAGCUUUAACAAGAUAAUCAGAGCUUGAAGCUUAAGUUUGUAGACAUGCAAGCUCAUGUGCAGUGGAAAAGAUGAAAAAUGCCUGGUGAUGAUCCAACAAUGCACUAAUCAAGGCUUGUGGGGAUUGUCGUGUCAUCCUUUGAGCUUUUGCAUUAUGGUUUUUGAUUUUCAUGGAGAUUAAGGGAUUGUUUCCUAGAGAAGGAGGUGGGAGAAAAAUAAAUGAUGAUGUUGCCAAACAAUCUUCACAAAUAAAAUCUAUUUUUGCAUUUUUCUACAAGAAUUUUACCUGGCGGUUGUGCAUAAUCAAAUGGCUCCACGACUCCCAAGUCCCAAACAAUCUAAUGAAGUAUGUAGAGUGAGAAACUAGAGAGAAACCAAAUAUAAUCAAAAUACAUGAAAAGUUAACAUAAUAUUGUAAAUAGAAAAUAAAAUAAUAUCUUGAGAGGCCAACUCAAACAAUCACAAUGCAAAUUUUGACUUUGGCCAUAUUUAUAAUAUGAAAAAUUUUAAAUACGUUUAUAUAUAAAAAAGGAAGGAAAAAAGAAUUACCUUUAAUGAGAUGAAUGCCAUGGGUGCUCAUUGUGUGGGUUGAAAAUAUGGAGUGAGGUUGUGCUUAAUGGUUUGAUCCUCCCACUUCAAUUCAUACCACCAUUUUUGGUCUUCCUCGAUUUUCUCUAAUUUCUUGCUCACUCCAGUAUUGGAAUGAAAUGGCAGCUUCCUUAAACUUCGACAUCCAGACACGUGGAUGUAUCUUAAAGAUGGAAAAGGUAGGGCACAUCCAUAUAUACUUCUUAGCUUUAGUAGCCCUUUUAAAAUGAGAGAUACGAGUCUCGAGAAUACACCCAAAUGGUCUACUUCAAUUUCUAAAACUUCACUCCUUUCAUCAUCUAUCACUUUUUCCAUUGAUUCGCAGAAUCUAAGACUUAGAAAUUGAAGGCUUUGAGCAUAAAUAAGCCAUGUCAUAUUCAACAAUUGAUAACAUCCAUAUAUGUCGACAUCACAAAGGUUGUUCAAGCAUUGGUGCCUUGAGAAUUUUGAGUAGACCACCACUUCCUUUUCAAAAUUGAUUUUCACAUCUUGCAAUUCAAAACAAUCUCUAAUAUGGAGUGCCUUUGUAUAAAGGGAUAGUUGGACCAACUUCAAAUACUUACAAAUUAACUAUAGCCCUCUUGUGGAUCUUUGUAACUUGUGGGAGUUAAAUAAUGAUUGGAUGGAUGAUUCACUUGCAAGGUUGAUGGAUAUAUCAUCAAUGUGUUCCAAUUGCUUUAACUCUUCUAAUAACCUUCUUUCAUCAUCUUCGGUAAAGGCUGACUCUUCCUCUUUUGUGCUAUACAUGCUAAACAAUUGCAAAGAGGAAAGACUUGAUACCAUUUGAGAUGGAAGUGACUCAAGAGAAUACAUAUCAUUCAAUAUCAAGCACCUUAAUUUUUCAAGUUCUUGAGCUCCACAGGUAAGUAUUCAAUACUUGUCCAUGACAAAUUAAGAUAUUGCAAGGUAACUAAGUCUCCAAUCUCCACAGGUAACUCCUUAAGAAGAAAAUUGUUUGACAAAUCCAAAACUCUUAUAAUAGGCAUGUUUGUAAAGAAUCUAUUUGGAAAUGACUGAAUAAACUUAUAUGUUGCCAAAAAGGUCUCCAUGUUAGGGAAAUAUGGUGGUUCCCUAAGCUCUUCAAUGUCGGUAUUCCUCAAUAAUGAUAUCCUCUGUGUCUCUUUCCAGUUUUCAACUUCCUUAGCUCCAAUAUAUCCAACUCCAUCUUUUACCACAAAUUUGUUCUUCUUUUUCCCGUUUUCGCGAGCCAACCACAAAGCCAAAUCACGAAUAACAUCAUGCAUCUUCAAAUAUUCGUCUUUUUCAUCUAAUGGAGAUCUGCCAUUCUCCAAUAAACAUGCAAGCUGUAAACUUUUAAUAACUUAUUCUCCUUGAUUUCUUGCUUCUUGUAUGUUGUCAUAUUCAUCCAGAAAACCCUCCCCGAUCCGAAGUUGUAUAAUUUUUCGAUGAGAGUUUUCAUAAUCCUCCGGAAAUAAAGAGCAAUAUAGGAAACAUGAUUUGAUGGCUUCAUCGGGUAGGCUAUCAUAACUGAAUGCCAAGCGUGAAAACAGAUGAUUCUCCAUACCUUGAAACUUUGCUGGAUAAUUCUUCAACAUUUCUAUUUUUUUCCUCCGUUCUUCGGGUGUUUUUGUUCCCGCCAUUGCUCGCCCUAUGGUGAUGAGGGCAAGUGGUAAGCCGCAACACUCACUGGCAACCACCUCCGCCAGCUUUGGUACAUCUGGAUGAGAAUUUAUGGUGUCUGAUCCCACCUUCGUCUGAAACAGAGCAAAAGCAUCCUCCCAUGGGAGACAAUUCGCUUCAAUGCUCUCUGUAACUUCCAUGUCUUGGCACACAUCUUUAGAUCGCAUUGUAAGUACCAUCUUCAACUUAUCUUGAUGAUUCAGAGGAAGAAUACUGAUUACUACCAAAAAGUGCUAUUUUGUAGACCUAAUUAUAAUGGUUUUAAGCACCUUUGAGUAGUAAUCAUAUUCAUUUAACCCAAUUAAUUCAUUAAGGUCCUUAGUAAUUGGUUUUAACCAUUUUGUGGCAAGUUUACAUGUUUUUAUCAGCUUAUGAAUCAAUUCAAGCAUGCCAAAUGAUGGAGGAGCUACUUGGACAAGUUAUGGCAAAGCUUUUGGAAGCUCAAAUUCAUGAAGAACCAAGCUUUGGAGCUCCAUAGCCCUUUGCCAAAGUCGUUCAAAGUAUGCAAGGAAAGAACAAUGGAGAAGAGGAAAACAGAGUGAAGAAAAUAGAGGACAGCAGCUACAAUCUUCUUUCGCACUUUUGGUGCACUUCCCGAAGUCCAUUUUCUACAUGCUAUAUACCAUUUCAAAGCUCAGGAAGUCAAGAAUCCAACGCUUUAAACCGUGUAUGAUUUGGAGCUGAAAUGAGGAAGAUAUGGCAUUCGGAAGACAACUGCUCCAGGCUUGUGCGAAAAUUUCGCACAACACCUUCCAAAUUCGCACACCCCCUUGCGUGGUGCGAAUUUUCCCCUAUUUCUGCCGACUCCACAAGAGAUCUUUUCUUUUGGAUAUUUUUGUAUAAAUUUCCAUUCUUCUCCUUGUAAUCCACCAAUCAUAAGAUUUCUUAGCUAGGAAGGUUGGAAAAACUUCUCUAUUUAUAUCCCCUUGCAUUCGUUGUAACAAAUAUUGAUAUAUAGAUAAUAUAUAUUACGUUUGACACUUAGAAUAUUUACAGAGCUCUCCCGUUUCUAUUUUCUUAGUAGCCAAAUAGCCUCUAAGGGCAUUUCCUCAGAGGAUGAUUGGCUAAAACUUUUAGUUUCUCAAAGUAUGGAUGUUAUGUGAUGGCUUGGAUGCAAUCCCAUGGAAAUUUCUCGCACCCGGAAGGUAAGGUAGUCGUUUUUCAUUAAAGGUUCAUUAAUGCAAAGUUUGGUUUUUAUUUCCUUUGGACAACUUCCAACGGCCAAUACUUGAUAAGCUUUUGGAUUUCUAUCCAUUAGUUAUCUCCUACGAGCUAUUGGAAGGUGAGGUUUUCAAUUCCAAGUUUUGUAUUAAUCCGUUAGAACCAAUUUCAAUGGCCAUUGAAAGGUGAGUUUAUCACUUGGAAUGACUUUGAGUUGCCAAUAUUUGGUAAGCUUUUGGCUUUAGACCAUUAGUUAUCUCUUACGAGCCAUUCAAAGGAAGUCUAAGGUGAAUAACCAUUGAUGAAAUUCACUACCAUCUGUUUUGCCAUUUUAAAGGAUUAAAACUUGAUUUGAUAAAUCCAUACCGGUUCGGGAAGCAAGCAUCACCAUAGUUGCAACCCCAACGCGAGGAGCCUAUCCUGAGAUUUCCAAUUUGCAUAAGAGCCAGAGCAUAACUAUCCUAUCUUUGAGAAACUUGUUUUUGCACCCUUUCAUUUUAGUCUUUAAUGUUAGCUUAGAUUAGUUUAAAUCUUUCUAAAACAUUUACAUCUUCUUUUAAAGCUAACAUCCAUAAGAAAAUCACCUAUUUUCCUAAUUUGAAUAUCACUAGUGUUUGCGAAAACCCUUCCCAGUGAACGAUCCUAGAACCACUAUGCUAUAGUAGCUUGGCUACUUUAGUAAUAGUAUUCAAGGUAUAAAUUUUGUUGAUACGCCUUUAAAGCUAAGCUACCAUGAGUCGAAUCAAAUACCAACUUUGGAUAGAUCCAGCUGCUCCCCAUAUGUCGUCUAACAAGAGCACAAAUUUCUUUGUCUUCAGGACAUUGAAUAUUUCUUUUGCCCUUUCAUCCUCACUCCUACCUUCCCAUUUAUCUUUGGGAAUCUCCAAUUUAUUGAAAAGAACUCGCUGAACCUUUUCCACAUUGGCUGGUCUGGACACAGUCACCUAAAUCACUGCAUCAAGUUCAAGCCUGGUUUUGAGGAGCUCAUUGUUGAUCCUGGUCAAGAGGGUGGUUUUGCCCACACCCCCCAUUCCAUAUAAUCCGAUACUGCUUACCUGCUCUCCAUCAUCUUGGAGCCAUUUCCAGACCUUCCCAAACAACAAAUCUUGGCCCACAGUCUUGUCCAGAGGCCUCUCGAUCACGGGAGGACCAGGCAAAGGUUCAGCAACUACACUGAAAUUUGAGCCCUCCGUCUUCUUUACCGUCACAACAUCCAUCUUUUCAAGUACCAUCUUGCCAAGCUUGUAGCUAGCGCCACAGUUUUUAGGACAAUAGGUUCCGAGACAUAUCUUCUGGAUUUCUUCAUCACCUAUGGCCAAUAUUUCCAUCACUUGUUCUUCCAUGGCUUCUACAUUGCGGAGCCAGCCAUCGACUACAUGAGUACGCUUCUUCUGAAGUUUCUGUUAGAAUUCAACCAAGAUGAAUACCCUAAUUUCAUAUAUACUGGAAUAGUUAACAAGGUAAAUACCCUAAUUUCAUAUAUAUUGAAAUAUUUAACAAGGUGGAUACCCUAAUUUCAUAUAUACUGGAAUCUCCUGAUUAAAAAACAAUGAGUGGAAAAAUAAUAGCGAAAGCAUACCUGAAUCCAUUGAAGGAGAAACCUUAUAGGAAGAAAACCCUUUGAGAUGGUCUUCCAAUUCUAGCCACUAGAUUCUGUGUCAAUUUCUCUCUGAGAGGAUUUUCAGAAAUUGGAAUGCGUAGUCGUAGAAUGGGGACCAUAACCCUAUUUAUAAACCGCUAGGGCAGUUUUAAUUUUAUCACAAUUAUAUUUCUGCCCCUCAUAGAAAUAAUAAUUGUCUAAUAGUAUCUACACAAUAAUCUCAUGACAAUUAUACCCUUAAGCCAAUUAAUCAAUUAUUAAUUAGAUCACUAUAUUUAGGCUUAAUUAAAUGAUAGCACACACAUUUUAAUUAUUUACAUAAGUGGCCCAAAUUAUAGAUUAAUUACAAAAAUUAAUCUAACAAUCUCCCACUGGGCCACAUGCAUAUGUAAUCAAAUAAAUGUGCUUAACCUUAUGAGCUCAAAAUUUGCUAUCAUGUCCUUAGGGUAUAUCCGAACAAUCUCGUCCAUUAACUAUACUGACAUAGGAUCAAGGUGGCCUUUGUUACAUCAAUCAUUACUAGACCAAUCAAUGGUCACAUAUAUCUGCACAGCUAAAUGACAUAGAUCAAUCAUGAGUGCAUAACAUGGAAAUUACAUGCAAUGUGAUCUAUUCAUGCCUAUUUCCAACUGGUCCAACUUAACUUUAUUGAGAUCAAAUCUUUAGCAUAAUUUAACAGAGUGCAAUAAAAUGAAUACUUUAUUUCUGCAGAACACAAUCCAAAUGUAUAGAUAAAGUCUAAACAUAACAUAGAGCAAUAUACAAUGAAUAAUACAAACUCCCACUAAAUUUGGAUAUCCUCAAAUNNNNNNNNNNNNNNNNNNNNNNNNNNNNNNNNNNNNNNNNNNNNNNNNNNNNNNNNNNNNNNNNNNNNNNNNNNNNNNNNNNNNNNNNNNNNNNNNNNNNUGCUCUAUGGAUAUCUGUCAACUCUGUACUUUUUCUUUUACAACUAGGAACUUGAUAUCAAUGUAUUUUGAUUUUGUAGAACUCCUAUUGUUAUUGGAAUAUAAAACUGCUGAUUUAUUGUCACAAAAUAUCUUCAGUGGUCUUUCAAUACCAUCCAGAACACGCAGCCCAGUGACAAAAUUUCGUAGCCAUAUUCCUUGAUUGGAUGCCUCAUAACAUGCUACAAACUCUGCUUCCAUGGUGGAUGAAGUUACGAGUGUCUGUUUGCCAGACCUCCAUGAAAUUGCUCCACCAGCCAACAGAUAAAUAUAGCCUGAUGUGGAUCUUCUGCUGUCUUGGCAUCCAGCAAAGUCGGAGUCGGAAUACCCAAUCAACUCUAACUGAUCCAAUCUCCUAUAUGUAAGCAUGUACUCUUUUGUUCUCUGUAAAUAUCUCAUAACCCUCUUGGCUGCUCUCCAAUGAUCCAUUCCAGGGUUACUUAGAUAUCUGCCUAACAUGCCAACAAUGUAUGCAAUAUCCGGACGUGUACAUACCUGAGCAUACAUUAGACUCCCCACAGCCGAAGCAUAAGGAAUCUUUUGCAUUUCUUGACUUUCUAAACUAUUUUUAGGGCAUUGAUUAAGACUGAAUUUGUCUCCUUUAGCGACAGGGGUAUCACUUGGUUUGCUAUUUUGCAUGCCAUACCUUUGGAGGACUUUAUCAAUAUAGGUCCUUUGUGACAAUCCUAAAAUACCCCUAGAACGAACUCGGUGUAUCUGGAUUCCUAAGACAAAGGAGGCAUCACCAAGAUCUUUCAUCUCAAAAUGUUUUGAUAAAAAUCUCUUGGUGUCGUGCAAUAUGCUAAUAUCAUUUGUGGCUAGCAAUAUGUCAUCGACAUAUAAAACCAGGAAAAUAUACUUACUCCCACUGAAUUUGUGAUACACACAUUCAUCCAUAAGAUUUGCCUCAAAACCAUAUGAGACAAUAAUUUGAUGAAACUUGAAGUACCACUGACGAGAAGCUUGCUUGAGCCCAUAAAUGGAUUUAGUUAAUUUACAAACCAUAUUCUUUGAGUCUUCGGACACAAAAUUUUCUGGUUGUACCAUAUAAAUUGUUUCAUCAAUGUCACCAUUGAGAAACGCUGUUUUAACAUCGAUUUGAUGUAACUCAAGAUCAUAAUGUGCAACUAGUGCCAUGAUUAUCCUGAAAGAGUCCUUCGUAGAAACUGGAGAGAAGGUCUCUUUGAAGUCAAUUCCUUCUUUUUGAGUAAAGCCUUUAGCUACAAGACGUGCUUUAUAUCUUUCUACAUUACCAUUUGAAUCCUUCUUGGUUUUAAAUAUCCAUUUACAACCAAUGGGCUUCGUACCAACUGGUAAUGGGACAAGUUCCCAAACUUUAUUGUCUUGCAUAGAUUUGUACUCUUCAUUCAUGGCUUCAAUCCAUUUCUGAGAGUUGGAACUUUUCAUGGCUUGCUGGAAGUUGAUUGGAUCAUCUUCCAUCAUUCCACUUUCUACCUCACGUUCCUGGAGAUAUACGAUAUAAUCGUCCGAAAUUGCAUUUCUCCUCUCUCUAGUGGAUCUCCUUAAUGGCAUAUUUUCUUGAGGUUGUUGAGUUUGUUCUUCAGGAGCAAUGUCCUCAUUUGCAAUUAAGGGUUGAACAAUAUUGUCUGUUGGUUGAGGAUCCAAAUUUACUUCUUGAUCAAUGAUAGGUAGUGAAACCUGUACAUUAUCAAAAGCAAUAGUAGAUCCCUCUUCCUCCUCAAAGACAAUAUUCCUAGCCUGAUUUCUCCCCCCAAACUCAACAUCCUCAAAAAAUGUUGCAGUUCCCAUCUCAAAAAUUGACCUAAUAGCAGGAUCAUAAAAUUUAAAACCCCUUGAUCGCUCUGCAUAGCCAAUAAAGUAGCUGCUAACUGUUUUAGAGUCCAAUUUCUUUUCAUGAGGCUUAUAAGAUCUCGCUUCAGCUGGACAUCCCCAAAUAUGAAAAUGCUUUAAACUAGGCUUUCGACCUGUCCAAAGCUCAUAAGGCGUUUUAGCAGCCGCUUUAGUUGGCACCCGAUUUAGGAUAUAAGCUGCCGUUUUGAGUGCUUCACCCCAGAGUUUUUCGGGUAAAGUAGAAUGACUAAUCAUACUCCUUGCCAUGUCCUUAAGGGUUCGGUUUUGUCUUUCUGCUACACCAUUCAUGCUAGGUGAUCUUGGCAUGGUGUAUUGAGGGACGAUCCCACAUUCCUCUAGGUAUUUAGCAAAUGGUCCUGGACGUUGUUCACCUGAUCCGUCAUAUCUACCAUAGUAUUCACCACCACGGUCAGAUCUGACGCUCUUUAUUCUUUUGUUGAGUUGUAACUCAACUUCUGCUUUAAAUGUUUUGAACACGUCCAAUGAUUGUGAUUUCUCAUGUAUAAGAAAUAGGUAGCCAUAUCUUGAAUAGUCGUCUAUGAAUGUUAUAAAGUACUGUUGACCAUUCCAAGAUGCCAUAGGGUAUGGUCCACAGAUAUCUGUAUGAAUUAAUUCUAAGACGUCUGUAGCUCUAUUGGCACCUAAUUUCUUUGUUUUGGUCUGUUUUCCUUUAAUACACUCAACACAAAUAUCAAAAUCUGAAAAGUCAAGUGAAUCCAAAAUCCCAUCGGACACAAGUCGCUCAACUCUAGAUUUAGAGAUAUGACCUAGGCGUUUGUGCCACAAUGAGGCCGAAUGAUCUUUAUUCAAUUUACGUUUCGUACCUCGUGAUUCCACAUGCAAGGUUUCAUUAUAGGACGGAAUAGUUUCCAACAAAUAUAGAUUAUCAUAAACAUUAAGUAAACCGGUUCCUACAGCAUUUGAAUUAAUAGAUAAUGUAAAUCUAUUGUUUCCAAAUGAACAAUAAUAAACUGAUUUGUCCAAAACAGAAACUGAAAUUAAAUUCCGUCUGAAAGACGGUACAACAAAAGUAUCUAUUAAAUCCAAAAAAUAACCAGAUUUCAAUAAUAAUCUAAAGUGCCCUAUUGCCUCUACUUCUACCGACUGACCGUCUUCGACAUAGAUGCAUCUUUCAGCAUCACUUGGUUUUCGGUAACUCAGGCAACCCUGCAUAGAAACACAAAUGUGAGUAGUAGCACUAGAAUCUAACCAUCAUGUGUUUCUAGAUACUGAAGCUAAAUUAACUUCAGAACAGACCAAAGUAAGAAACAUACCUUUCUUAACACGCCAAGCAGCAUACUUGGUACAUUCCUUCUUAGUAUGUCCAGGCUUAUUACAGAAGAAACAUGUUACCUCAACUUUCUGUUUCUUUUGUUCUGGACCAUUAGAAGUAGCAACCUUAUUAUCCUUAUUCUUUCGUUUGCCCUUAUCCUUGGAAGUGCUAGCCAGAUGAGCACUUUCGGUCUUGUCUUGCUUCAAUCUCUCUUCCUCUUGCACACAGAAUGAAAUGAGCUCAUUAAGAGUCCGUUUAUCCUUUUGACAGUUAUAACUGACCUUGAAUUGAUUAAAUUGUGCAGGAAGAGAGAUGAGAACCAAAUGCACGAGUAAAUCAUCAGAUAACUCGAGUUUCAAAGCCUUAAGUUUUGAAGCAAGAUGAGACAUCUCCAUGAUGUACUCCCGAACAUUACCCUUGCCUUUAUACUUCAUUGAAAUCAAGCUUGCUAAAAGCGUGCUCGUUUCAGCCUUAUCGUUUUUGGCAAAACGUUUUUGAAUUUCCGCAAGGAAGUCACUGGCAUUAGUAACCUCAUCGGUUACCGCACCCCUGAAAGCUUCUGGAAUGCCGCGCUUCAUGAUCAUAAGACUUAGCCUAUUUGAACGUUCCCACUUACCCCAAUAAACCUCAUCCUCUUGAGUACUUUGCUCAUUGAGUUCAUCAGGUUUGGGCAUUCUCAAGGCCAAGUCUAUAUCCAUGCAGCCUAAGAGAAUCAUCAUAUUCUCUUUCCAGUCGUUAAAAUUAGUCCCAUUUAACAUAGGGACAUUAUUGAUGUUGGCAGAUAUAGAAGUAGUUGAUAUAAAAGCUGAAUCGAGAACAAAAUAAAAUGAAUCAAAUAAACCAUCAUGCUCACAUAAAAUAAGCAAUUAAACACAUAAUCUUUAAAUUUAAAAGCAAAUUAUGACAUUUCAAGAUACCUAGCACAACAUUAAUAUCAAGUCUUUGGACAGUAAUAUUAACUGUAAGUGGUACUCUUGUUGUAGUGAUCAAACAUUGAUGAUAAGUUAUGUCAAAUAAUAAAUCUAUCUUUGGAUUGAUUUAUUAUUCACAUUAAGUUACCUUUAUAAUCAUCACAUAUUUAUCACCACAAGUAUGUAUGCAAUUUGACCAAAUAUUAACUUUCCUUUGGGCCAGUCAAUACCCGCAUGAAUCACAUACACACAAAUAUCUAACACCCCGAACAGACUAAUCUACACGGAAGAUGUCACUUUGGUGAUUUUCCGCUUUAAUUAGCCUAUUUAAAAUGCUAGAUCAAUAACUUAAAUAUUAAUAUCAUAAAAUGCUAUUAAAUAAUAAUAAUAAUAAUAAUAAUAAUAAUAAUAAAAAUUUUAUCAGCUCAAUAUUUCAUAAAUCUUAAUCCAUUGACAUAUAUUAAAAUAAUAACUCAAAGAAUUAAUCAAGGAGUAGGCUCUGAUACCACUUGUUAGAAUUCAACCAAGAUGAAUACCCUAAUUUCAUAUAUACUGGAAUAGUUAAUAAGGUAAAUACCCUAAUUUCAUAUAUAUUGGAAUAUUUAACAAGGUGGAUACCCUAAUUUCAUAUAUACUGGAAUAGUCUUGUUAAAAAACAGUGAGUGGAAAAAUAAUAGCGGAAGCAUACCUGAAUCCAUUGAAGGAGAAACCUUAUAGGAAGAAAACCCUUUGAGAUGGUCUUCCAAUUCUAACCACUAGAUUCUGUGUCAAUUUCUCUCUGAGAGGAUUUUCAGAAAUUGGAAUGCGUAGUCGUAGAAUGGGAACCAUAACCCUAUUUAUAAACCGCUAGGGCAGUUUUAAUUUUAUCACAAUUAUAUUUCUGCCCCUCAUAGAAAUAAUAAUUGUCUAAUGGUAUCUACACAAUAAUCUCAUGACAAUUAUACCCUUAAGCCAAUUAAUCAAUUAUUAAUUAGAUCACUAUAUUUAGGCUUAAUUAAAUGAUAGCACACACAUUUUAAUUAUUUACAUGUGUGGCCCAAAUUAUAGAUUAAUUACAAAAAUUAAUCUAACAGUUUCUCUUCACGUUCCACCCCUUUCCUUCACAUCUUCGUAUAGGUUCUUGAGUUCCUCCAUUGCAGUUCUCAAAGAGUUGAGAUUUUGUGGGAGAUGACGGAUGUAAACAGCACGCUUGGCAGUGCAAUUCCACAAGCGAGUAGCGACAUCCAGGAUUGGGCUCACACAAUCCACGGAGAAAACAAGGACUGGGAUUCAAAGCCAAGAAGAACUUAAUCAGAAUAGGAAAACAGGUGCUGGAUUGAAAUUGGAGAGGAAAAGAGAAGAAUUCUGGAUUUAUGUUUGUUGUGUACAAAACCCAGCAAAGUUGUAGAUCAGUAAGGAGAAAAGUAAUAAUGAAAUAUCACUUUUUUUUUCAAGUAAAAGACUCCGCAAUCAGUGUAUGAUGUACUCAAAUUACAUAUCCAAAAUCAAAAUGAGUUCACAUUUGGGUAAUGGAAAAAAAUAAAUUCUAAACAAAAUUAGCAAAGUAUUGUGCAUGCUUUAGAAAGUUUGGUGAUUCAUAAAGGAAGAAAAGAAGAAAAGCACCGAAAGUGCGGAUUCUUUGAUAACAUUUUUCAAGACAUUCAUUCGCAUCAUAUAUCAUUUGUGUCUUUUAAUCAUUAUUAAAUGUUGGACAUCAUUCAUGACUCAAGACCUAUAUGAAGAGUGCUUUUUUUAUUUUUUAUUUUUAUAAAAUAUAAUAUUCUAAAUAAUAAAUAUUACUAACAUUUUACAAAAAGAAUAUUUACUUGUUCAUUUGUAAAUAAUUUUUAUUUUUUACUUUUGUUAAUUUUUUGUAAGAGGAUAUUUUGAUAUUCUCAACAACUCAAAUUAGUGAAACAGGCGAUGGAUAGGAGUUGGUGAGGUGAAGAGAAGAAUAUUGGGUUUAUGUUUUUGUGUUCAAAACCCAGAAAAGAUGAUAAUGAAUAAAGACUGAAGUAAUAAUGACAUUGUCUUCCAUGCAGACUGUCAAGCUCUGUAAAGAUGAAUAUAAGGCCACCCCACCACUUCUGGUAUGAUAUUUUCCCAUUCUUUCCUUCCUUUGUGUUUCCAUCAAUCAAGCAUAGUAAAGGGUCCACAGCUUUUCUGGGUUUCUCUUUUCCUUUAGUGGGAAUCUUUUUCUUCCAACACAAAUAUGAAUUCAUUUACAUAUGAAGUUUGUGUACUGGUUUGUAACUAUAAAACUGUAAGUAGCAGUGCAUAUAAUUCUUCAUCCGUUCUACUGUUUAAAAAUAUAAUUCUUUUUUCUUGAUAGGUUGGGAUCCAUUUUAUUAGUAAUUAUUUAGGAAUUUAUUAGGUUUCUUUCAUCAUUCCAAACACGAAUUUAUUAGGAAUUUAAGGAUUUUUCCGUAAUCCCAUUCCAAGUUUUGGAUUAUCAAACAUGGGUACAUGAGCGGAGGAGAAUUAAUUGGUUUUUGAAUUUUUUUUGAUGAUAUACAUAAACAAAAUUUUGUUAAUUUAUUUUUGGAGAAGUAAUUUUUAUUUAUUGAAAAUUUGAUUUUUAUUUAUUUGAAAAACGAGGAUAUUCAAAUUGUUGAUUAUAACCAAAUAUCUAAUUACAAGAAAAAAAAAAAGAUUAAUAUAAAGAUAAAAUUGCAACCUCUCUCUCAAUUAAGAUGAGAGAAUUUAAAAUCUUACAAAAUGAUGAAAGAAAGCCUCUUUUUUUUUUUUUUUUAAUGAAUAGUAAGGGGUGGAGACCACGUUUUAUAGCAUAGGGAAACUCCCCCCCUUUUGUCUUCUAAACGAGAUGGGAUGACUUCAACUUUGACACGAUACACUUAGAAAUGUAAGGUUGGAAUGAUUAUUUAUUUCUAUUUUAAUGUUAAGUAACAAUAAAAAUGAGAAUGAAAGAGAAAUAAGUUCACAAUAAUAUCUAUACGCAUAGUUUAAAAUAAUUUUUUAUUUGUAGGACAUCUAAUAAUGGUUUAAAAUCAUAGUUAUUUUUUACCAUAUUUUGUUAUGAUAAUAGUAAUUAACUCCAAAAACAAUGAAAGUUCAUUUGUAUAUUUGUAUAUAGGUUUAUUUGAGCACUUAAAAAUGGUUAACUUGGAUAUAUUUUUAUGAUAGAGAAUUCUCUAGCUAAGAAGUCUUCUCUUAUGCACUUGUUUGUACAUUUAUAAUUAUUUUCUUUAGGUUAUAUAUGGUUCAUGAUUUUUUUUUUAGAGGAAAGAAAAUAGUGAGAAAAUUAUAAGGAAAAAAAUUUAUAAAAAUAUUUCGGGAGACGUCUCCUUGAUGUUUGGGUUUGAUUCAGCUAUGGAUUUGGGUGACAAAGAUCACACAUUUGAUGAUGGAUGAUUUGAUGUUGUCCGAUUUUCGGCUUAUCCUACAUCUGAUUCCAUACUGGGGCAUAUUUCUGUUUCGAUUGAGAUUUACAGAUCUCAUGGAGUCGCAUGAUCAUCCUCACCUACUAGAUAAACGCUGAGAUGAUGACCUGUUUAUUAUCUUAUCAUGAUUCCUCAGUGGAGCCUCUCUAGAGCCAUCUAGUCAGACCCCCAUUUUUCGGCAUUUGGUUGUCAUCAUGUUUCUCAUUUUGGGGUACGCCUUUUGAUCUAUGAGUUCGAUUCAGUUAUGGAUGUGGAUGACUAGGAUUGCACAUUCAAUGAUGGAUAAUUUAAUAUCAUCUAGUUUCCCAACCUAUCACACAUUCGAUGCCAUACCAGGGCAUAUUUCCGUUUUGGUUGAGAUUUGUAGAUCUUCAUUGAUUUGCAUGAUUGUCCCCAAUCAUGAGAUGCACGUUGGGCUAAUGGUUUGCUUUCAUUUUGUCCAGAUUCUCUAGUGGAGCCUUUCUUGAGUCAUUCAAUCAAGCUCAUAUUUUCUGAUAUUGUCAUGAUUCUUAGAUGAAGUUAUCUCAGGUGCAUAAACUCCCACAUCAUCAUUUCAGUAGAGUGCAUGUCAGGUCUCUUACACGUCCCCAUUGAGCUAUACUGGGGCAUAUUUCCCUCUUUUAGUUGCGGAGAUGAUUGUAUUCUCACAGACUUGUUAUAGUCUUCAUUACUUGGACGAGGGAUAUUUCUUUGCAUUACUGGUCACAGUUUCAGUGAUUUUAGUCGAGAUGGUCUCCAAAGGAGCACAACCUUCUGGGUUUUAACUACCCCUCUAUCCAUGACCUUUCAGUAGAUUUUUGUGUUGGGGUCGCAGUAGUUACCCUAUUAGACUAUUCUCUUGAGACUUCUUAGUGGAUCAUUCAUUUGAGAUGACGAUGGACUCCUCCAGUAAAGCAUUUUGAGUUAGAGGCGCUUGACUUAUUGUGACACAUCAUCAGGCCUCGUGAUUUAGUCGGAUGGAUUAUGAGGCUGUACUUAUAAUCGAUUUGAUCAUUCCGACUCUCUAGUGGAGCAUCUUUCGAGACACAGUGAGCCUCUUUCAGACCUUUCCAGUGGAUUGAGAGUUGUGGCGGCACGCUACACUAGGGCAUGUUUCCCCCUUUAUCAUUUCCUUGCAGAUUGGCGUUCAGAGCCACCAUAUUUUCUCAGUUAUGACGUUUAGAGUCGUCAUUCUCAGUUCGACGUUCAGAGUCGUCCUUUUCAGUUUGGCGUUCAAAGCCACCAUCUCCUUGUAGCUUGGCGUUCAGAGCCAUCAUCGCUUCUCAGUUACGACGUUCGGAGUCGUCUUUCUCAGUUUGACAUUCAGAGAUGUCAGUUCUCAGUUAUGGCGUUUAGAGCCUUUAUCUUCUUUAGUUCAUUGUUCAGAGCCACCAUCUAUUCUCAGUUCGACGUUCAGAGUCAUUCUUCUCAGUUCGACGUUCAGAGUCAUCCUUCUUAGUUUCAGCGUUCAGAGCCACCAUCUCUUUUCAGUUUGGGGGUUCAGAGCCACUAUCUCUUUUCAGUUUGGCGUUCAGAGCCACCAUCUCUCCACAGUUUAGUUUUUAGGGCCACCACAUUUUUUCAGUUUGGCGUUCAGAGCCGUCGUUCAUAGUUUGACAUUCACAGUCGUCGUCCACAGUUAAGCGUUUAGAGCCACCAUCUCUCCACACCCGUCUAGGUUAACUUAGGCGGCCCAUUUAGACACUUUAGGCCCGUCUAGCUUCAUUUAGGCCCACUUAGGCACACUUAGCCCACUAGACAUUUUUAGAGUGACUUGUAUGGUUGCAUGGAUCAUUUAUCUCAUUUACUUAUUUAUUUUUAUUUUUUAUUAUUAUUAUCAAUCACUUUUAUUUAAUCAUUUACUAUAUUUUUAUUUGUUUAUUUAUUUUAAUUUACUUUCAUUGUUAUCAAUCACUUUUAUUUAUUGAGUUAUUUUUUAUUUCUUGUUUAUUUAUUUGUUUAUUAUUUUGUUGUUUAUUCAUUUAUUUAUUAUUAUUAUUUCAUCAUUCUCUAAUUUAUUUAUUUUAUUCAUUUAUUUAAUUUGAUAAUUUGAUGUUUUUAUGGGAAAAUUUGCCAACUGGAGGAAAAAGAAUUUUGAAAUUGGUAAGAAUUUGAAAAGGAAAGAAACUCUUCGAAGAUGGGACUCUUUACGUGAUAUGCAUGGAUUCACUUGUGAAAUUUUUAAAAAGGAGUUUUUUUGGUGGAUGAGAUAGAAUUUGGCAGAGAGGAGAAGUCCUCAGUGGGGACGACUCUAAUUGCUAUAAAAAGCAUAGGUGGUGGGUAUGAAUGGGGGGAUUUUUUGGAGGAUCUUGAGAGGGAGAAGAAGGAAGCACGACAAAGUGGAGUAAGUGAUUUGGGACAAUAUACAAGCGGGGAUUUUCUUAUCAGGGGGAGCGUUUUCCAGGUACGUUUUUUGUAGACCCUUUGUAAGAAAACAGAGUAGAAAUCUGGUGUAUAUUUCAUUCAUCAACUUAAAGGGAAGAAGAUACAUAUAUACAAAGUAUUGGUUAGCCUAUUUUAGGAAUCUAUGAGCAAACGUAUCAGUUACAAUCAAUCAAAAUAAUCUUCUAUAUACAAUCAAAUAUCAUCCUCAAAUUACGGGAUCCUUGAUUCCUUUCCCUUAAUACUCCCCCUCAAGUUGGAGCGUGUAUGUCAAGAACGCCAAACUUGCUGAGAAGGGAAUGAAAAAUUGAUGAAUUGAGUGGCUUAGUGAACAAAUCAGCAAGCUGGCAAGACGAUGGAACAUGAGCAGUUACUAUGGCUCCUGAUUGAAUUCGUUCUCGAACAACAUGACAAUCAAUUUCUAUAUGCUUGGUACGUUCAUGGUAAACUGGAUUAGCAGCAAUAUGGAGUGCUGCUUUACUAUCACAGAAUAGUUUGGCAGGUUGCGAGUGUUCUACUUUCAAGUCAUCCAACAAAUACCUGAGCCAUGUAAGUUCACAUGUAAUGGAAGCCAUUGCUCGAUAUUCUGAUUCAACUGAUGACCUUGACACUGUUGUCUGUUUCUUGGUUUUCCAUGAAAUGAGAGCUCCUCUAAGAAAAAUACAAUAUCCAGUCACAGAUCGUCUUGUGAUCGAACAUCGAGCCCAAUCUGAAUCACAAAAUCCUCUUAGUAGCAAAUUUCCUUUUGCAGGAAAAUAUAAUCCUUGUCCAGGUGCACCUUUAAGAUAUCGUAGAAGAUGAUGAACAGCAUGCAAAUGAGGCUUUCUUGGUUCUUGCAUAAACUGGCUUAAAAUGUGAACUGAAUAACUUAUCUCUGGCCUUGUAAUGGUAAGAUAAAUGAGUUGUCCGACCAAUCUUCUAUAAGUGGAUGGAUUCUUCAAUAAAUCUCCUACUGUGGGUAGGAGUUUAUUAUUUUCUUCCAUAGGUGUUGACAAUGGUUUGGCCCCAAGCAAGCCUGCUUCAUCUAAAAUAUCAAGAGUAUAUUUUCGCUGAGAUAUUGAAAUACCAUCAGUAGAACGAGCAACUUCAAUACCAAGGAAAUAUCGUAAUUGACCGAGGUCCUUGAUGCGAAAUUUGGUGUGGAGAGACUCCUUAAGAGCUGCAAUUACAUUCUCAUCAUUGCCGGUGAUGAUCAUGUCAUCUACAUAGAUGAGCACAGCUGUGAAAGAAUUACCAGAGAUCUUUGUGAAAAGUGAAUAAUCAGCCCUUGAUUGAUGGAAACCAUCUUGUUGAAUGGUGGCCGAAAAUUUCCGAAACCAGCUACGAGAGGCUUGUUUAAGUCCAUAUAAUGACUUGUUGAGUCGACAUACCAUAGGUGUCUCCCCCUGUUGACGAAAACCGAGUGGCAAUUGCAUAUAGACUUCUUCAAGCAAAUCACCAUGGAGAAAGGCAUUUUGAACAUCCAUUUGGUGAAGUGACCAAUGUCGGACAGCAGCUAUAGCAAGUAAACAUCGAACUGUAGUUAACUUAGCCACAGGAGAAAAGGUCUCCUUAUAGUCAAUCCCUUCGCGUUGAGUGAAGCCUUUCGCCACCAACCGAGCUUUGUAUCGCUCAACUGUGCCAUCAGAGUUAUAUUUGAUCUUAUACACCCAUUUGCACCCAAUUGGACGAUGACCGUAAGGGAGAGGUGUGAGUGUCCAAGUGUGAUUUUGUUCAAGAGCAUGGAGUUCUGCAGCCAUAGCUUCCUGCCAUUUUGGAUCUAAUACUGCCUGUUCAUAAGUUGUAGGUUCCACAAGAGUGGUGAUGGCACAAACAAAAUUCCGAUAUUUUGGUGAGAGUUGUGCAUAGGAAAUAUACCGAGUCAAAGGGUGACGCGUACCUGACAAGGAAGAAGAUUGGCUGGAAGCAACCUUGGCGGUGUGGUAGAGAUGAAAAUUCCGGAGGUGGACAUUGGGUUGCUUGAUGCGGUCAGAACGACGAGUAGUAGGAGGUGGAGGUGACACAAUGGUGUCAAGAUGAAGUGUGCGUUCAUUAGAGGUAGACUCAAGAGAUGAAAGCAAUGGUGGUGGCUGAUCAUCGGCUUGUGGUUUGGUUGUCUCUGUGGUUAUGGGUUCAUAUGAGGUUUGUGGUAAAGGAAGAACUACCACAUCAUGUUGUUCUUCUUGUGGAUUAGUGUGAAACGGAAAUAUAUGUUCAUGAAAGACAACAUCUUGGGAAGAAAAGAAUUUAUUAGUGUCAAGAUCAUAAACCCGAUAACCCUUUUGACCAAGAGGAUAACCAACAAAUAUGCAACGACGAGCUCUUUGAUCAAAUUUAUGUGUGGGUAAGAGAUUGGUGGCAUAACAAAGACAUCCAAAAGUUCGUAGAUGAUGAUAUGAAGGUAGCUUGUUAUGGAGAAGUUGGUAUGGCGAUUUGUGAGAAAGAAGGGGUGUAGGUAAGCGAUUGAUUAAAUAGCAAGCCGUUUGAAUACUUUCCCCCCAAAAUUUUAACGGCAAGUUUGCUUGAAAACGAAGAGCUCUUCCCACAUUUAAAAGAUGACGAUGUUUCCUCUCAACCACCCCAUUUUGUUGGGGGGUGUAAGCACAUGAAUGAUGGUAAUUGAUCCCCUUAGUAUCCAAAUACUGUUUCAUAGAGGAAAUUUCAGUCCCAUUAUCGGUUCGAAGGGUUUUAAUGCAACGAUUAAAUUGGGUUUCCACCCAAGAAAUGAAUGAUUGCAAUAUCCCUUGUGUUUCAGAUUUAAAACUCAUGAGAUGUAUCCAAGUAUAUCGAGUAUGAUCAUCAACAAUUGUUAGGAAAUAACAAGCCCCAGAGUGAGAAUUUAUUCGAUGUGGUCCCCAAAUAUCACAAUGUAUCAAAUCAAAAGGUGCAUGAGAAGAAAUGAAACUAGAUGGAAAGGACAAACGAGUUUGUUUGGCUAAAGGGCAAAUAUCACAAACAUGCUUGGAAUCAAAAUAAAUUUUAGGAUUAACUUUAGCAAGAACUUGAAGAGGACCGGAUGAUGGGUGCCCAAGACGUUGAUGCCAAAGAUCAGAAUGUUUGUGAAUGGCGUAAGCCAAGGCUGGAUUUUGGUCUUGUGCGAGGUAGUAGAGGCCAUUAUGUUGCUUGCCCAGGCCAAUCGUCUUCCUCGUAGUAGCGUCCUGCACAACACAAAAAUCGAAAAAAAACAUCACUAUACAUUGUAAUGCCCGCGUUAGUUUACUAACUGAUAGUAAAUUAACUUGAAAUUGUGGAACUUUGAGUACGUCAUCAAGUUUAAUGUGGGGGGUAACAUGCAAUGAACCAAUUGACUCAAUAUGUGCUUGACCACCAUUUGGCAAACUAAUGGUAGUGGUUUUGGGCAAAUUCUUCGGAUCUAAUAAUUCAGCUGAGGAAGUCACAUGAUCCGUGGCUCCGCUAUCAAUAAUCCAACACAUAUUUGAGUGUGGGCAAUUCGGAAUAAUUUUGGACGAUGACAUAUUUAUACCUGUGGCAUUUGCAAAAUGUUGUGAAUUACCACCGUUGUUUUUCCGAAUCAUAGCCAUUAAUUGGUUAUAUUCCUCAGUUGUGAGCCUUGGUCCAUCAUUUGUUGGAAGAAGUUUUGCUUCUGUCUCCACAGCCUUAUUUGUUUCCACUUUCACAUUGUUUGCAUUUGAGUGACGUUGAUUGGGAGGCUUCACGUUCUUCCCAUGGAGCUUGUGGCCAAUCGGAAAGCCAUGUAGGUAGUAACACUUCUCAAUGCUAUGAUAAUCACGGUCACAAUAAGAGCAGUGCAGUGGAGUCUUUUGCUUUUGAACCUGGUGUGCUGAAGUCGCCUUAUUGUCCCGAUCUGCAAGCAUGGCAUAAUGGUUCUUGUUCCCAUUAUUGAGAGAAACUUCAACCUGUUUUUCUUGUUGAAGGACAAGUGAGUAAACUCGGCGUGUAUCGGGUAGAGGGUGCAUCAAUAAGAUUUGUCCACGAAUGGCAGCAUAACUAUCAUUCAAUCCCAUGAGAAAUUGCAUAACUCUCUCUUUUUCAUCCCUUUCCUUAAGUUUCUCUAAUCCUCCACAAGAACAGGAUAACACUUCAUGAUAGGAUGAAAGUUCAUCCCAAAAAGCUUUAAGCUUUGUGUAAUAAACCGAAAUUGAUUGCUGCCCCUGCCUAUGCUCCACAAUGUCUCGCUUGAUUUGAUAAAUUCUUGAAUCGUUUCCUUGCGAAAAACGUUCUCGCAGAUCUGCCCAGAUUUCUGAUGCUGUUUCGGCAUAAAUCACACUGUUGGCUAUGUCUGGAUGAAUAGAAUUCAAUUGCCAUGAGAUCACCAUAUCAUUGCAACGUUGCCAAGAAGGGAAACUAUCAUCAGUCGAAGAGGGUGGCUUAAUGGAACCUGUGACGAAUCCAAUUUUGUCUUUAGCACUCAAACUGAUCCUCAUAGCCCGACUCCAUGUGCUGUAGUUAUCUCCUUCAAUUACUUUGGAGACAAGUACCAUACCCGGGUGGUCCGAGUGGUGUAGAGAGAAGGGAUCUAAAGCUUCUGUGGUAGCCUUAGAUGAUGUCAAUCCCGUUUUGUUGGCGUCCAUGGCAGCAGCUGUAACGAGGAAAUAAGUUGCGGAAGCGUUUGGAAGAAUUCAGAGUCACCAGGUUUGGUGCUCUGAUACCAUGUAAGAAAACAGAGUAGAAAUCUGGUGUAUAUUUCAUUCAUCAACUUAAAGGGAAGAAGAUACAUAUAUACAAAGUAUUGGUUAGCCUAUUUUAGGAAUCUAUGAGCAAACGUAUCAGUUACAAUCAAUCAAAAUAAUCUUCUAUAUACAAUCAAAUAUCAUCCUCAAAUUACGGGAUCCUUGAUUCCUUUCCCUUAAUACCCUUCCUUCAUUCCCAUUAUCCUUUUGUUAUGUAUUAAUCUUCGCUAGAUUUUGAGCCUCGUCUGGAUGUUUGGUUAUAGAAUGAAAGAAGCCAAAUAUUUAUUUGCAUUGAUACUAGAUAGCUCAUAUAGUUGUUGUUGAAAUAAAUUCCUUUGGAGGUUCCUAGUUUUGGUUUGGGACUGUAAGGUGGUGUUUGUUUUUUUGGCUUUUUGCUGAAAACCAUUUAGCUUUAGAAUUUAGGUUGUUUGUUUUUUUACUUUUUUAUGACUUAUUAUAAAUUUUUUACUAAAUAGAAAAAGCCAAAAAAUGUGGCUUUUUCUAAAUAGAAAAAAUAACACAAUGGUUUUUUUUACUUUUUAAUACUUAAUAGAAAUAAAAUACUAUAAAAACAAACAACCUAAUAUUUAAUACUAUUAAGUAUUAAGGUUCUAUUUAGAAUUAAGUAAAAAAACAAACACCACCUAAGACUCUGUUUUCCUGUUUACUGUGUGUUAUGUGUGUUAUGUGAGGACUUUGGUUGCCUUUGUUUGUUUGAAUCUGUUUAUACUCCUCCCACCAAUCUAAACCCCUCAUAUGAAACAUGAAAUGUGGCCUUCACCGUGUUUUUUUGGUUUACAUUCUUCAUGCUCUGUUUUCUUGGUCGUCUUCCUCUGUUUUCUAUGGGUAUUUUGGGUGCAUAGUUGUAUGUGCAUCACUAGUUGAUGGUGCUAGAGAAUGGCUUGCAUGGGUUGAAGGAGCAAUCCACUUUCCAUAGUGGAGAAUUGGCACUCGCGCACAGUCCUUAUUUUUUUUUAAAAGAGCAAGCGCACAGUUGAGAUGGUGAUAUUCACGCACAGCAGCCCGUUGUCAAUUCCAUGAAAAACUGGGAUGUAUCCUCAAGAAAUGAGUUGCGUAUCAAGAAGAACAGGAAAAGGAAAGCAAAAAUAGAAAAAGGAAGCAGAACAGGAAGAAGUGGGAACAGAGAGAGAGGUCUGAAGGGAAAUUCAAUGGAUAUCUUGAGGGGAAGAUAGCAAAAAUGCGGAUAAAAAAAAAUAAAAAAAAUCAGUCGAGGCUGACAAGGAGAAGCAUGAUGAUGCUGCCAAGGGAGUUUUGAAAAAAGCAAGGUUGUUACUCAUUGAGCCGGAACCAUUGGGAGGAUCGUGACACAUACAUACAGAAUCACAGUUUCGGACUCCGAGGAACAGAUCGGAUGAUCUGGAAGGCCCACAGUCUGUAUACAUGAUCAAUGUCCCUUGAAUGCAUGAUGAUGGGAGUGGUAUCCAUGAAGUCAUUACCAAUGGGAUUCAGAUUCAGGCCCACCGACGAGGAGCUCAUCAGCCACUACUUGAAGUUGUAGAUCGAAGGGUGUCAUUCGGAGGUGGAGGUUAUUCGGGAACUUGAUGUUUGCAAAUGGGAGCCUUGGGAUUUGCUUGGCUCCUCCACGAUCAAGACGGAUGAUCGGGAACGGUUCUUCUUCUGCCAUCGUAAUAGGAAGCACCCAAACAGCCGUCGUUCCAACCGGGCUACCGACGCCUGUUACUGGAAAGCUACUGGCAAGGGUCGAAUCAUAAACCACGGGGUUUUCUCUGCAACCACUAAUUUGGUUCUCAUCUCUCUGAUAUGGAGACUACUUCUGUGGCUUUCAAAUCCAAGGAGGAUCACCGAAAAUAGCUGGAAUUAGAGGAAGCCUGUGAAGCUGGGCUUGCACCAGCUGAGCUUGAUGAAGAUGGGAAAGAAAUCGACCCUCACAUUCCUCAGUAUAUGUCCUCAGUGCCUUGGUAUCUUAAUGCUGAGAGACCUAGUCUGAAACAUCAAAGGAAAUGAAUGUGAACUUGAUGAUUUGGAGAUUCUUAGAACGCUAGAGGAGGGACGUGAUUAUGUUUUAGUUCCUCAAGAAGUUUGGGAGAAGCUUUUUACUGGUAUAAAGGAGGACCGACAUUACCCAGAAAGAUGAAUCCUCAAGGUAUUACUCACAAGAAAUUCAUGGUGGAGAUUUAUCGACUAUGCCUUAAGUUAAUUGAUUUCAGCAUGAGCUUUAUGAGAGGGUGUGUACACUUAAAGAGGAAGCAACAGGUUGGUUUCUGUGCAUGAGCUUUAUGAGAGGGUGUGUACACUUAAAGAGAAAGCAACAGGUUGGUGGUCAAAACAUUAGUAUAUUGCACAACUUCGGUAGUCAAAGGGUGGACUUAGGUCCGGAUUGCAGCAGAAAACUUAUGCUUUUUUUUUAAAUGGGACUUUAAAUGGUGGGUCCCUUGGAAUCAGGGCUGAAAGAUAGUGAUAGUUAUGUAAGGAUGGUGGCAGCUUGUGGGGUUCUGAAAUUAUAUCACAUAUCAGCUUCAACACAUGUUGAUGCAGAUUUUCCAGCAAUGCUUAAGCAUUUAAUGCUUAACGAUCCAGAUACUCAAGUAGUUGCAAAUUGUUUAUCAUCUCUACAAGAGAUCUGGAGCAAGCAAGUACCUUUGAGGAAGCAUCUAGGGAGAGAGGGGCAAUAUGCAUUCAUUGAAGGAAGCGACCACCAUUCUGAUAUGAAUUCCCAAUUGGUGCACCUUGUUCAUGGUUGCCUUCCUACAAAAUACACAAGAUUUUGGUGGUAUGGAUGAUACUUUGUCAUCUCAGAUGCAGCUAUAAUAUCAAAUUACCUGUUAAGACCCCUUCUUAUUGAGAUUUAUUGAUUUAAAAUUGGUUUGUUAGAAAAGAAAUACCCAUCUUAGGUAUUAAAUGAUUUGAUCAUUGCUGUCAGUUUUCACUCAACCAUUGACCCUUUAAUUUCAAAAUUCGUUUCGGCAACUUUAGAAUAUUCAUAAAAAAUUUCCAAAACUUGUAUGAAUUUCCUUACUUCUUGAACUUGAAUUUAAAUUUUUGUUUGAGUUAGAAAGCCAUUCUAGAAUAGGAGGUAUAAACGAGUCUUUUAGGGGGCUCCUUUUCACCCAGUUCUAGACACUCGAGAUCUUUUUGCAAAAAUAAAAUACGAGACUACUUUUUAAUGGACGUCUAAGUUGGUAAUCUAUAUAUCAUGCAUGGGAAACUAUGGCCCAACAUACAUUUCUAGCUUCAUUGUCUAAUGUACACUUCUAGGCUCGUGCAAGGGAGAUGGUUAUCCAAAAUAUGUGAAUGUGAAGUUAACAUUUUUUAGUUUUGGUCAAUAUUACUGAAGAUAGUUAAUAUUAUUAUCAUCACUUGAAUCAUUGCUUAUUCAGAUGUAAGGGUGGUUCUCAUGUCAUUUGGUGGUGUUUCAAUGUUUGAUGAAUACCUUAUAACGACUUUUUGCUACAACUAUUGCACAUUUUCAAUUGAGUGUGUGUUCUAUUGUACUAUUGAUAAGUUUUUCAUAUAACAAUUUGAACACACAGGCAUGGUAUAUCAUAAUGCUAUCAUUCAUUGUAACUACCAUAUGAACCAUAUAUAAAUGUAUAAACAUAUAUGAAUAAUAUGUGUUUAUUUUUUAGUACCAAUUUCUUUACAAAAAGGUUUCAAUGUUUGUCAAUAGCACUCUUGAAACCAACUUAAAAACACAGCCCAUGCCAUACCAUUCACAAUCACCAACUUAAUAUUGGUCGACCAUGCUAAAUGAAGUGGUACCUUUAGUUGCCGUUAAUGUUACUUUUAGGUUAAUGUAGUGUUACUAUUAACAAUGUCUGUAUCUAGAAACAUAAACAUAAUCUUAAUAUUAUCCCACUUAGGUUUAAAGCACUGAGCUGACUGCCAAAUUAUGUCAUUGAAUGCUAAUUUACAUUGGAAUGGAGUAGUAGUCCAAAACAUGCAGCAUCAGAAUAUUUCAUAGUUUUUAUGGGAAAGUAUAUAUCAUUACCAAAUGGACAUAAUUUGUUAACAUCAAAAUAAAAUUGAAAACAUGUUGCUUUUAAAGAAAAGCAGCCAUACAAUUAUUUAAAAAAAAUGAAAUAUCCGUUAUAAACAACUUAAUGUUGUCCAAUCCGUGUAACAUUAAUGACAUUUUCAUUCUCCACAGGCAAAAGCCAUGGAGGUCGUUCGAAUUCUUCUUAGACAGAUAUAUGUUAAUACCAUUGAUGCUUCAUGCCAUGUCUUCACAAUGCCUCCUUUCUUUUGUGUCAUUGAUUGAGGAUGAUGUUUCUUUAGAUACCGAAGAUUUUAUUAAUACACUAUGAAGACAAGAAUCUGCAUAAAUUAAACAACGAAAAAUGUCAUACAGAUGAACAUUCACAAAUAAGUCAUAGUAAUAAAGCAAACUAAUCUUUUGUAUUGUUGCCACUGAACUUGUAUGUGGUAAAUGACACCAAAGAAGAUGAUCUACAUAGGCCUCCAUUUGGAGCUACUAGUUUAAUUUGUUCUCUCACCAUUUACAUGGGAGGAAUAUCAGUAAAAUGUCGCUUUUACAUUACCAUUGUUAUACCUUUCACUUAAACAUGCUUAGGUGGCAAUCCCCAGUCCAAAUUAUGGAACAUCAAAAAAGAAACCAAGCCCAAAGUCAAUCCCAACCCCAACUCACAUGAGCUUAGUACAUCAUUUAACCAACGGUUUUACAUUUGUUGGUACAUUAUUUAACCAACAAUGUUACUUUAAGGCCAAAAUGGUGUUACAUUUAUGUCACAUUUAUUGUAUCGUUAACUUAUAUAAGGAUUGGAUGACAUGACCUAGUCCAAAUCAUGUAGAAUGCCAACUAGGAAUGAAUUCCUACAUCAAUCUACAACCCAACUCACAUGAGGAUGGUACAUCAUUGAACUUAUAGUAAUACUUUAAUGCCAAAAACAAUGUUAGUUUAUGCCAAAACCACUAUUACAUUUAUAUUAAAAUUGUUUUACCUGUUGCUAAUAUGGAAGAAUUGUGUGUACUCCCAUUGUCCAAAAAAAAAAAAAAUGAUGAACCACAAACAAAAACUAAGUCAAUCUACACCUCAAAACACAUGAGGAUGGUACAUCAUUCAACCAAUGAAGGUACUUUAAGCCCAACACAGUGUUACUUUAAGACCAAAACACUGCUACUUUUACAUUACAAUUAUUGUACCCUUCAUUAUUUUCUGAAUACUACAUGUUUACAUAAUUCCCCCUCAAAACAAUGUAAUUGAUAAUGGAAAAUAAGUAACUUAAACUCAAGUGCAAAGUGAAAACCAACUCUAUGCUCAUAAUGCAAACCAAAUUGAUCCAUGCCAGAAUCGAUCUCAUAAAAAGUUCUACAAUGAAUAAUUUAAAUUGGUCGUUUCAUAAGCUUAACAUUACAAAAGCAAAAUUGCCAAUAUCACAACUAAUCCAUAAGUUGUUCAACUUCAAUAAGUAUUUUGAAAACUAACCCCAAAAUAAUCAAACAACAUCUCUUCAUAACUCUCUAUAAAAAGGAAGACCUAAUAUUGAAAGGAAAUUUAAUUCUCUAAGAGCAUUUUAGUUUCUUCUUCUUGUAAUUCUUCUAUUAUAUAACAAAACUUAUUUUUGUAUAUUACACCUAAUUUUCUUUUUUAUUUAUUUAUUCCUUAACCUUUAAUUUUCCCACAUAUCUUAAUAUAGCCUUGCAUCAAUUAAGCAUAGAUUAGCUAAAUAGUAAAAUAAUAGGUAUAAUAUAUUUAUAUCACUAUGGUAUAAACUUAUAGUUUAUGUUUUGUUUUACAUUAAAAAAAUGUAAUUAAAAUUAGUUAAAAAGUGAUGUAUUUUAAAAUUAUUUCAUCUUUAUAUAAAAGUUUUAAAAUAUGUAAAAAAAAAAAAAAAAAAAGACUGAGUUUGAAAUAACAUAUAAAAAUAUAAAUCCAAAUUGAUUCCAUUCAUUCUCCUUUCAUUUUGUGAUUUUGCAUUAAAGAAGCUCAUCCCAACAACCUCACAAAUAAUGCUUAUGAAAAAAUAAAAUAAAAUUAAAGGCAUGAUGAAGUGAAAAGAGGAACAUCCCAAUGAAUGAAGCAGAGAGCAAAGUUCUUAUCUUGAUUUCCAGUUGAUGUUUUUUCCCUGUUUUAGCUCCUUAAACUUUUCCUUUCAACUCCACAGCAAAAUGCUCUGAAUUUUCACCUUCUCUCCCCCAAUGCUCUCUUGGAUUUAUGAAAAUAAUCCCAUUAGUUUCCAAAGAGUCAAGCCUUUUCGCCAUUUUUUUUCUCCCAUGGAAUAAUUUUCCAACCUAUACUUUUAGUCAAAUAAUAAAGAGAAAAAUAAAUCUUGAAUUUAAAUAAUAAAAAGGCUAUAAAUUCAUUAAAUCUAUUUUUAAAAUAUUUUAAAUUUAAAUUUAACUACUUUUUACCUUCAAAGUUUUAAUGAGAAAGUGUUUUUAACCUAUCCCAUUGCUUUCUUACUCUAUCUUUCUCUAUUUUCAGCUUUCUUUCUCUAUAUUUCUCUAUUUUCAUUCGUCAACCUUGGAAAAAGACCUGAUUUUGAAUAUCGUCUUUGCUUCCUUAUCUUUCAAUCUUUGUUAAUUAUGUAAUUGUGUAAAUAAUUAAUUUAAGAAGAAAGUUUUUUUCAUUACUCAUGACAUGAAAUGAUAAAAAAAAAAAAAAAAGUAAUUAUAUGAAUAGCAUAUGAAAGGUUAAUCUCUUCUUAUGAAGGUAUAUGAUCAUAGUAAUGGAAUGUGAAAUCCAUUCCAUCUUCAACUUGCAUGAGAUUGCAUUAUUACAUGCCAAAAUCUAUUUAUAGCCAAAUAGAAAAACAGUCUAAGCUACUUCUUGGGACGCACCCAUGGGAGCACUUUUUUUUUUUCUUUAUGUUAGGAUCAAACACGGGUUCAAAUCUUCUUGUAAGGUUGGAAAUCUUGCGAAGAAGCCUACAAUUUUGAAGGUUGGGCUUAGGAUUUUGGAUCGAAACUUUCAUUUAUCUUCAAUGGUAUCACUGGGUAUGGUGCUUAAGCCAAAGUCAUUUCUGGAUCAACUACUGUUUUUGACAAUCCUUUCAAAUUAGAGAGAGAAUAAUCUUGUGCACUAGAGUAACUUAUACACAUGGCCCCAUUCAAUCAAUUUCAUUGUUCUAAGAUUUAAAAAUUCCAAUUUAUUUUCUUUUUCUUUACAUUAAUUUUCUAAACAAAUAAGCAGUUUCUCAUCUUCUACUUUUAUGAAAUCAACCAAAUCUCAAACAGAGCACCUACAAAACCACAAAAAAAAGAAAGAGAUCGAAAAAGUGAAAAAUUGCCAAUUCAAGCUUCCUUUCAAUACAAAAGCGUUGAAUCUAUAUUUAUCAUCAUCUUCAAGUUUUAUGGCACAGGCUGACAAGAGACUAAUGAAAGUAAAACAGAAGCUCUAACAAGAUAAUCAGAGCUUGGAGCUCAAGUUUGUAGACAUGGAAGCUCAUGUGCAAUGGAAAAGAUGAAAAUGCCUGGUGAUGAUCCAGCAAUGCACUAAUCGAGGCUUGUGGGGAUUGGAGAAGAUUGUUGUGUCUUCCUUUGAGCUUUUGCAUUUUGAUUUUGAAUUUCGUGGAGAUUAAGGGAUUGUUUCCUGGAGAAAGAGGUUGGAGAAAAAUAAAUGAUGAUGUUGCCAAACAAUCUUUACAAAUAAUAUCUAUUUUUGCAUUUUUCUACAAGAAUUUUACCUGACGGUUGUGUAUUAUCUAAUGGCUCCACCACUCCCAAGUGCCAAACAAUCUAAUGAAGCGUGUAGAGUGAGAAACUAGAGAGAAAUUAAAUAUAAUCAAAAUACAUCAAUAGUUAACAUAAUGUUUCAAAUAGAAAAUAAAAUAAUAUAUUGAGAGGCAAACUCAAACAAUCACAAUGCACAUUUGGACUUGGCCAUGUUUAUAUUAUGAAAAUUUUUAAAUACAAUUAUAUAUAUAAAAAAAAAAGGAAGAAAAAGGGAUUUUACCUAUAAUAAGACGAAUGCAAUGGGUGCUCAAAUCUUGCCUCAAAUUUUUGAGGGUUGAAAAUAUGGAGUGAGGUUGUGCAUAAUGGUUUGAUUCUCCCAAUCCAAACCAUCCCACCAUUCUUGGUCUCCCAUGAUUUUCUCUAAUUUCUUGCUCACUCCAAUAUUGGAAUCAAAUGGCAGCUUCCUCAAACUUGAACAUCCAAGCAUAAGAAUGUGUCUUAAAGAUGGAAAAAGUAGGGCACGUCCAUGUAUACUUCUUAGCUUUGGUAGAUAAACUAAGGUGAGAGAUACGAGUCUCGAGAAUACGCCCAAAUGAUCUACUUCAACAAUUUCUAAAACUUCACUCCUUUCAUCAUCUAUCACUUUUUCCAUUGAUUCACAGAAUUCAACACUUAGCAAUUGAAGGUUUGGAGCAUAAAUAAGCCAUGUCAAAUUCAACAAUUUAUGACAUCCAAAUAUUUCGACAUCACAAAGGUUGUUCAAGCAUUGGUGCCUUGGGAAUUUUGAGUAGACCACCACUUCCUUUUCAAAAUUGAUUUUCACAUCUUGCAAUUCAACACAAUUUGUAAUACGGAGUGUCUCUAUAUAAAGGGAUAGUUGGACUAGGUUCAUACGCUUACAAACUAAUUGUAGCCAUCUUGUGGAUCUUUGCAACUUGUGGGAGUUAAAUAAUGUUUGGAUGGUUGAUACACUUGUAAGGUUGAUGGAUAUAUCAUCAAUGUGUUCCAACUGCUCUAACUCUUCUAAUAACUUUCCUUCAUGAUCUCCUGUAAAGUCUGACCCUACAAUCGUUCUAUACAUGCUGAACAGUUGCAAAGAGGAAAGACUCGAUACCAUUUGAGAUGGAAGUGACUUGAGCAAAUACAUAUCAUUCAAUAUCAAGCACCUUAAUUUUUUCAAGUUUUUGAGCUCCAUAGGUAAGUAUUUUAUACUUAGACCUGACAAAUUAAGAUAUUGCAAAGUAACUAAGUUUCCAAUCUCCAUUGGUAACUCUGUGAGUUCAAAAUUGUUUGACAAGUCCAAAACUCUUAUAAUAGGCAUGUUUGUAAAGAAUCUAUUUGGAAAUGACCGAAUAAACUUACGAGAUGCCAAAAAGGUCUCCAUAUUAGGGAAAUAUGGUGGUUCCCCAAGUUCUUCAAUGUUGGUAUCCCACAAUGAUAUCCUCUGUGUCUCUUUCCAUUUUUCAACUUCCUGAGCUCUAAUCGAUUCAACUCCAUCUUUUACCACAAAUUUGUUCUUCUUCUUCCCGUUUUCGCGAGCCAACCACAAAGCCAUAUCACGAAUAACAUCAUGCAUCUUCGAAUAUUCGUCUUUUUUAUCUAAUCGAGAUCUGCCAUUCUCUAAUAGACAUGCAAGUUGUAAACUUUUAAUAACUUCUUCUCCUUGAUAUCUUGCUUCUUGUAUGUUGUCAUAUUCAUCCAGAAAACCCUCCCCGAUCCAAAGUUGUAUAAGAUUUCGAUGAGAGAUUUCAUAAUCCUCCGGAAAUAAAGAGCAAUAUAGGAAACAUGAUUUGAUGGCUUCAUCGGGUAGGCGAUCAUAACUGAAUGCCAAGCGUGAAAACAAAUGAUUCUCCAUACCUGGAAACUUUGCCGGAUAAUUCUUCAACAUUUGUAUUUUUUUCUCCCAUUCUUCUGGUGUUUUUGUUCCCGCCAUUGCUCGCCCUAUGGUGAUGAGGGCAAGUGGUAAGCCGCAACACUCUUUGGCAACCAUCUCCGCCAGCUUUGGUAUAUCUGGAUGAGAAUUUAUGGUGUCUGCUCCCACCUUGGUCUGAAACAGAGCAAAAGCAUCCUCCCAUGGGAGACAAUUCACUUCAAUGCUCUCUGUAACUUCCAUAUCUUGGCACACAUCUUUAGAUCGCGUUGUAAGUACCAUCUUCAACUUAUCUUGAGGAUUCAGAGGAGGAAUACCAACUUUGGAUAGAUCCAGCCGCUCCCAUAUGUCAUCUAACAAAAGCACAAAUUUCUUUGUCUUCAGGACAUUGAAUAUUUCUUCUGCCCUUUCAUCCUCACUUCUACCUUCCCAUUUAUCUUGGGGAAUCUCCACUUUAUUGAAAAGAACUCGCUGAACCUUUUCCACAUUGGCUGGUCUGGACACAGUCACCCAAAUCACUGCAUCAAAUUCAAGCCUGGUUUUGAGGAGCUCAUUGUUGAUCCUGGUCAAGAGGGUGGUUUUGCCCACACCCCCCAUUCCAUAUAAUCCGAUACUGCUUACCUGCUCUCCACCAUCUUGGAGCCAUUUCCAGACCUUCCCAAACAACAAAUCUUGGCCCACAGUCUUGUCAAGCUGCCUCUCCAUCACGGGAGGACUAGGCAAAGGUUCAGCAACUACACUGAAAUUUGAGCCCUCCGUCUUCUUUACCGUCACAGCAUCCAUCUUUUCAAGUACCAUCUUGCCAAGAUUGUAGCUAGCGCCACAGUUUUUAGGACAACAGGUUCCGAGAUAUUUCUUCUGGAUUUCUUCAUCACCUUUCGCCAAUAUUUCCUUCACUUGUUCUUCCAUGGCUUCUACAUUGCGGAGCCAGCCAUCGACUACAUGAGUACACUUCUUCUGAAGUUUCUCUUCACGUUCCACCCGUUCCUUCACAUCUUCGUAUAGGUUCUUGAGUUCCUCCAUUGCAGUUCUCAAAGAGUUGAGAUUUUGUGGGAGAUGACGGAUGUAAACAGCACGCUUGGCAGUGCAAUACCACAAGCGAGUAGUGACAUCCAGGAUUGGGCUCACACAAUCCAUGGAGAAAACCAGAACUGGGAUUCAAAGCCAAGAAGAACUUAAUCAGAAUGGGAAAACAGGUGCUGGAUUGAAGUUGGAGAGGAAAAGAGAAGAAUUCUGGAUUUAUGUUUGUUAUGUGCAAAACCUAGCAAAGUUGAAGAUGAAAUAUCACAUUUUUUUUUUUCAAGUAAAAGACUCAGCAAUCAGCAUAAGGGUUUUUGAUUGGCUACAUAAGGGUCCACCACUAGUGAUAUUUUCCUAUUCUUUUCUUCCUUUUGUGUUUCCAUCAAUCAAGCUUAGUAAAGGGUCCACAGCACUUCUGGUUUCCUCUUUUCCUUUCAUGGGAAUCUUUUUCUUCCAAUACAUAUGAAUUCAUUUAGAUAUAAAGUUUGUGUAGUGCAUAUAAUUCUUCACCACUGUUUUUGAAAUAUAAUUAUUUUCUCUUGGUACGUUGAGAUCCAUUUUAUUAGUAAUUUAGGAAUUUAGUAGGUUUCUUUCAUCAUUCCGAAUACGAAUUUAUUAGGAAUUUAGGAAUUUUUUUGUAAUCCCAUUCCAAGUUUGUGAAUUCAUUGGUUUUUGAAUUUUUGAUAAUAUAAAUAAAGAAAGUUUGUGUAUUUAUUUUUGAGAAAAUAAUUUUUAUUUAUUUGAGAAACCAAUACAUUCAAAUUGCUCAUUAUAACCUACCUUGACUAUUGUGGAUUAGGGUAGACAUUUUAACCUGCUAUAAUAACAAUCAAGAAUAUAAGAGGAAAGUGACAAACUAAUAGAGAGAGAAGUCAUGCAAAUAAAUCACUUAAACUCAGUAAGUCCACCAUGCUAGAAUUCCCAUUUCUCAGUUAGGAAAGCAAAUAAAGAAAAAAAAAAAAAAAAUCAAAUGCACAACUAAUUAAAUACCAAAUUUUUCCUUAACUCAAGUUCCAGUUUGAACCUUUUACUAUCCCAACAAAAUCGUUAUUUUGUCUAUCGGUAUAUUUUAUUUGCAACCUUGCUUGAUGACUAAAUUAUCUUCUAUUAGAAAAACACUUUUAAAGGUUAAUUAUGUAUGCUUUCUCUUUCGUUUAUAAUUUUUUUUACUAGUAUUAAUGAUUAAUUCUCUUUUAUUCACGGAUAUAAACAUAAUUAGUUGAACUCACUUUUUUUAUGUUUACAUUUACUUUUGUCUGUAUGUUAUUACACUAAUAUGUACUUGAUAUUGAAUUUUUUUUAACAUAACAAAUAUAUAUACACUCAAAUUACAUAUCCAAAAUCGAAAUGAGUUCACAUUUGGGUUGUGGAAGAAAAAAAAUUCUAAAAAAAUUGACCAAAGGCAUUGUGGACUCUUUACAAAGUUUGGUGGUUCAUAAAGGAAGAAAAUAAGUAAGAUAUGCUCAAAUUACAUAUCCAAAAUUCAAAAUGAGUUCAAAUUUUGGUUAUGGAAGAUUUUUUUUUUUUUUAAAAAAAAAAAUGAGCAAAGACAUUGUACCCAUUAAAAUUUUGGUGGUUCAUAAACGAAGAAAAGAAGUAAAGAUAUACUCAAAUUAUGCAUCCAAAAUUCAAAAUGAGUUCACAUUUGGGUUAUGGAAGAAAAAAAAAGAGCAAAGACAUUAUGGACCCUUUACAAAGUUUGGUGGUUCAUAAAGAAAUAAAAGAAGUAAAGAUGUGCUCAAAUUAAAUAUCCAAAAUUCAAAACGAGUUCACAUUUGGGUUAUGGAAAAAGUAAAAAUUCUAAACAAAAUUAGCAAAGUCAUUGUGUACCCCUUACAAAGUUUGGUGAUUCAUAAAGGAAGAAAGAAGUAAAACACCGAAAGUGCGGAUUCUUUGGUAACAUUUUUCAAGACAUUCAUUCGCAUCAUAUAUCAUUUAUUAAGGAAGAUUGCCAAAAUCAAGAUCAAGUCAAACCUUCAUGAUUUCAGCCUACAAUCAAGCCAUUUGAAUAAAGUCUUUGAUCUGUUUCUAUUUAUGUGAUUAUUAGCCGAGAUUGGUGUAUAGUUAUUUUGUCAUAGUAAUUGCUAUAAAUAUUUCCUAAAAUAGUUCUCUGUGAUGUUGUAUAUAUUUACGUACAGAUCAAUUGAAUAAUAGAUGAAGAAAUAGUUUAUUUAAUCCAGCAGUAUAUUUCUCUAUAUGGUAUCAGAGCAACCCUUCUCCAACGAGUCAAUCCCUCCCAUUUCCCCAAUGUCUUCCUCACCCGAACAACCUCAAAUUCAUCUCAACACCCACCCCAUUUCCUCCAUUGAAACCACUCUUGUUGCUCUCAAUAUCACUGCCCAGAUUAAUGAAAAAUUGACUCCUUCUACUUUUCCUCAAUGGCGUGCUCAAUUUGAAGCCUUACUCAUAGGAUAUGAUUUGCUUGAUUAUGUCACCGGCAUCUCUCAAUGUCCCUCUCCGAGUGAUCUCUCUGUUUCUGCCCUACACAAAACUCAUUGGGUUCGGCAAGACAAACUUAUACUCAGUGCCCUUCUUGCUUCCACUUCCCCUACCAUCACCCCACUCAUUGCAACAGCAAAAACGUCCCAUGAGGCUUGGCAAAAAUUGAACACCCUCUAUGCUAGCAAAUCACGAACUCGGGCUAUGUAAUUAAAAGAGGAACUCACCUUAAUACAGCGUGGAAAUCGGCCUAUCUUUGAUUAUCUACAUGCUGUGAAGUCUCUGGCAGAUGAAAUUGCCAUUAUUGACCACCCCAUUUCUGAUGAUGACCUAACCCUCUAUGUGCUUAAUGGCUUAGGUUCUGAUUUCAGGGAAAUUGCAGCACCAAUCCGAGCUCGCGAAAAGUCUCUUGCCUUUGAGGAGCUCCACGAUCUUCUGGUCGGCCACGAACAUUAUUUGCGUCGCCUUGAAACUGCUACUCAGCAACUGGUAGCCGCUGCAAACUAUACAACCAGGAAGUCUGGUUCUUCGGGAGGUCAACAACGCAGCUAUAGGAAGCCGAAUGGGCCUCAGCGUCAGUCUGGGCAAGCUCCAGCCCGAAGUGGAAAUCGUGAUGGUCGACGUCCCAAUGGUUCCAAUCGGCCCAGCAACAACCAGCGGCCUUAUAGGCCCAAAUGCCAAUUCUGUGAUGAGUUGGGCCAUACGGCCAAAAAUUGUCCUCAGCUGAAGCCCAGUGAAAUUACUGCAAACAGUGCAACAACUUCUACCAUGAAAGAGCAAAAAUGGCUCCUUGAUUCCGCUGCCUCCCACAACAUCAUUGGUGAUCUUCAGAAUUUAUCUAUUCACUCCGAAUAUGACGGCACCGAUGAAGUGGUUCUGGGUGAUGGUUCAGGUUUGGCUGUUUCACAUGUUGGUUCUUUAGCUAUACACUCACCCAAUCGAACCUUUAUCUUGCGUGAUACUAUCUGUGUUCCAAAUCUUAAAAAAAAUUUGAUUUCUGUUCAUCAUUUUACCUCACAAAAUAAUGUAUAUGUUGAGUUUCACCCAUCUUAUUUUCUUGUGAAGGAACUGAUCACGGGGGCGAUCCUACUAAGAGGUUCAUGUGAGAACGACAUUUACAUUUUUCCGGAAUCACUUGUGGGAAAUUUUUCACAAAAGGUUGCUAAUGUGCAUGAACGGACGUCGCUUGAUGGGUGGCACAAGCGUCUUGGUCAUCCUUCCUAUCCCAUUGUUAAAAAUCUUGUUUCUACUUUUUCUCUUCCUACCACUACAAAUAAAAUGUCCAUGUUAUGUCGUUCUUGUUCUAUUAAUAAAUCUCAUCAACAACCUUUUCGCACAACUAGUCUUUCGAGUACUGGUCCACUUGAAAUUAUUUAUACGGAUGUUUGGGGUCCCGCACACUCAAUGGGUCUUGAUGGCUCUCGUUAUUAUCUUCUUUUUGUGGACCACUACACGAAAUACAUGUGGUUUUAUCCCAUGGCUACCAAAUCGAGUGUGUCAACUAUUUUUCCACAAUUUAAAAUUUUUGUUGAAACUCGGUUUCAAGCCAAAAUUAAAACCCUUUACUCUGAUAAUGGUGGUGAAUUUAUUUCUCUCAAACCUUUUUUAAAUCUUCACGGCAUUAGUCACUAUACUACUGCUCCUUACACCCCGCAACAAAAUGGAGUCUCUGAACGCCGUCAUCGACAUCUUGUUGAAACUGGCCUCACCUUACUUUCGGAUGCUUCCUUGCCUCUUUUAUAUUGGCCUCAUGCUUUUCGAACUGCCACCUAUCUCAUAAAUAGGCAACCGACUCCUCUUCUCACCAACAAGUCCCCCUUUGAGGCUCUUUUUGGACAUAAACCAAAUUAUCUUAAAUUAAAAAAAUUUGGUUCGCUUUGCUAUCCCCUUACACGUCCAUAUAAUAAUCACAAGAUGCAACCUAAGUCCAUUCCAUGUCUUUUUUUGGGCUAUUCUCAAACUCAAAAUGCCUAUAUUUGUUUGGAUCUUAAGACCCACAAAACUUAUGUGUCUCAUCAUGUGUUAUUUGAUGAGACCCAACUGCCUUUUCAAUCCGAGCAAGCCCAGAGCCCAGCCUAACCCGAGUCUUCUUCUCAUCUGUGCCCUACUUCCUUUAUUCCAUUGUCUUCUCAGCCCGUGCGAGUUCCUCCUCAAGUGAUUCCGUCCGUGCACUCUUUUGGCUCGGCACCAUCACAUGUGCUUCCGGCCGAUGUUUCUACUGCAUCUCCAUCACCUCCAGGUAACCCCCCUCUCUCUUCUCCUAAUUUUCCUUUGACUGAUGUUCUUAGAAAUUCCGGUUCUCAUUCGGAUGUUCUCAUCUCGCAUGACCCUGUUCUUCCUUCCUCCCUUCAUCUGACUCACACACACACGGUUGUUGAUCUUACUUUAUCUCAGUCCCAUUCCAUUCCCCCUUCGUGUGUUCAAACUGGGAACCCUCGUCUCCACAAAAUGACAACCCGUUCCAUGAACAACAUCUUUAAACCCAAGCAACUUCAUUUGGUUUCCAAACAUCCCAUUCCUCUAGCAAUUGAGCCAACUUGUGUGACUCAAGCCGUGAAUCAUCCUCAGUGGCGUGAUGCUAUGUCCAUUGAGCUCACUGCCUUGAUGAAACAUGGAACCUGGGAUUUGGUUCCACACCCCCCCCCCCCCCCCCCCAAAACUGUACACCUGUGGGCUGUAAAUGGGUGUUUAGAGUAAAACACAAAGCUGAUGGCUCGGUGGACAAAUUUAAGGCCAGGCUUGUGGCCAAAGGCUAUACUCAAAGACCGGGCCUAGAUUACAAGGAAACCUUCAGUCCUGUUGUUAGGCCAGCCACUAUUCGAUGUGUUUUGACUAUAGCCGUGAUGAAUGGGUGGCCUUUACGCCAAAUGGACAUCAACAAUGCUUUUUUACAUGGAACCCUCACAGAAACUGUUUAUAUGAUGCAACCUCCAGGGUUUAAAGAUACCAGUAAGCCUGAUCAUGUGUGUCGAUUGAGAAAAGCCAUUUAUGGGCUUCGACAGGCUCCUCGAGCUUUGUACACAACUCUGAGAACUGCUCUUUUUCAGCUUGGGUUCAAAAAUUCCAAAGCUGAUUCUUCUCUAUUUAUUUAUACACAUGGUCCUAUCAUUUGCUAUUUUUUGGUUUACGUUGAUGAUCUUGUAAUUACUGGCAAUGAUAUUCAGUUUGUGGAUCACAUAAUUCAGAAAUUGGGUGAAAUUUUUUCCCUAAAAGAUAUGGGAAACCUUAGCUUCUUUCUGGGAGUAGAGGUUAUUCCUACUCGUGCUGGUGUGUUCUUGUCACAGCAUCAAUACAUUCGUGACUUAUUGUCCACAACGAAUAUGCUUGGUGCUAAGGAUGUGUCCACUCCUUUAUCCACAACUGCUUCUCUGAAAUUGUUUGAUGGCACAACACCUGUUGACAGCACUGACUUUCGGCGUGUCAUUGGUAGUCUUCAGUAUCUUUCACUGACCCGACCGGACAUUUCGUUUGCUGUGAAUAAGCUAUCUCAAUUCAUGCAUAAGCCAACUACAGCCCACUGGACAGCCACGAAGAGACUGCUUCGUUACUUGAAACAAACCAUUUUUCAUGGUAUUCAGCUUACUAGAAACACAACUUCAGUUUUAACCACGUUCUCUGAUGCUGACUGGGCAGGGAAUGUGGAUGACAGAACCUCUACUUCGGCUUAUAUUAGUUUUCUUGGCACAAAUCCCAUUUCUUGGAGCUCCAAGAAACAACGAGCUGUUGCUCGCUCAUCGACGGAAGCUGAAUACCGUGCUCUUGCCAAUGCUGCGUCUGAAACUGUGUGACUGAACUCCUUACUUCAUGAACUCGGUUUUCCACUCAAGGUGCCUCCCUUGUUGCUAUGUGACAAUCUUGGCGCCACGCAUCUGAGUUUUAAUCCAGUUAAUCAUUCUCGCAUGAAGCAUAUUCAGAUUGAUUUACACUUUGUCCGAGAGCUUGUUCAAAAUGGGACCCUUCAUGUUCGUCAUGUUCACACGCAAGAUCAACUUGCUGAUCUCUUGACAAAACCCUUGUCACGACAACGGACUGAAUUGUUACGUACCAAGAUUGGUCUUGCCGAUGGAAGCUCAAUCUUGCGGGGGCGUAUUAAGGAAGAUUGCCAAAAUCAUGAUCAAGUCAAACCUUCAUGAUUUCAGCCUACAAUCAAGCCAUUUGAAUAAAGUCUUUGAUCUGUUUCUAUUUAUGUGAUUAUUAGCCGAGAUUGGUGUAUAGUUAUUUUGUCAUAGUAAUUGCUGUAAAUAUUUCCUAAAAUAGUUCUCUGUGAUGUUGUAUAUAUUUACGUACAGAUCAAUUGAAUAAUAGAUGAGGAAAUAGUUUAUUUAAUCUAGCAGUAUAUUUCUCUAUAUCAUUUGUGUCUUUUUAGUCAUUAUUAAAUGUUGGGCAUCAUUCAUGACUCAUGACCUAUAUGAAGAGUGCUUUUUUUAUUUUUUAUUUUUAUAAAUAUAAUGUUCUAAAUAAUAAAUAUUACUAACAUUUUACAAAAAGAAUAUUUACUUGUUCAUUUGUAAUUAAUUUUUAUUUUUUACUUUCGUUAAUUUUUUGUGAGACGAUAUUUUGAUAUCCUCAACAACUCAAAUUAGUGAAACAGGUGAUGGACAGGAGUUGGAGAGGUGAAGAGAAGAAUAUUGGGUUUAUGUUUUUGUGUUCAAAACCCAGAAAAGAUGAUAAUGAAUAAAGAGUAAAGUAAUAGUGACAUUGUCUUCCAUACAGACUGUCAAGCUCUCUUUUCUUUUAACGGGAAUCUUUUUCUUCCAACACAAAUAUGAAUUCAUUUACAUAUAUGAAGUUUGUGUGUACUGUCUUGUAACUUUAAAACUGUAAGUAGCAGUGCAGAUAAUUCUUCAUCCGUUCUACUGUUUAGAAAUAUAAUUCUUUUUUCUUGAUAGGUUGAGAUCAAUUUUAUUAGUAAUUAUUUACGAAUUUUUUAGGUUUCUUUCAUCAUUCCGAACACGAAUUUAUUAGGAAUUUAGGGAUUUUUUCGUAAUCCCAUUCCAAGUUUUGGAUUAUCAAACAUGGGUACAUGACCGGAGGAGAAUUAAUUGGUUUUUGAAAUUUUAUGAUAUACAUAAACAAAAUUUUGUUUAUUUAUUUUUGGAGAAGUAAUUUUUAUUUAUUGAAAAUUUGAUUUUUAUUUAUUUGAAAAACGAGGAUAUUCAAAUUGUUGAUAGUUAGGAAGUGUCCCAAAUUCCUAAUUAGUAUAGAUUCUUUUUUUGUAAAUAAUAUUAUAUAGAAUAUUUCUAGGUUGAUAUAUUAUUGUAAUAUUAGACUUCCUUACAGAAUAAGGAAGGUUGUUGGAAAUAUCUCUAUAAAUAUUCUAGGUCAUGAGGGGAAAAAGUUAUGAGAUGGAGAUGGACCUGUAGAGACUAUACGAGGUGGAUAGAGAUGCGAGGAAGAACGAGAGGUACUCUAUGGAGCAAGAGGGCUCGUAGUAGGGUAUGGAUACAAGGAGUGGGGAAACAUGUGAUGUUUCGGGAACCCAAUAGUUGUAUUUGGUUCUGUCCUCUGUAAUAUUCUCUAUUGUAUAGUGGAAUCAUUCUCUCUCAUCCGUGGACGUAGGCAUGGUUGGCCGAACCACGUUAAAAUCUCAUGUACCGUAUGUGUGAUUGUUUUAUCUUUGUGUUCUUGAACUAACAUUGUUGGCAUCAAGGCUUUCGCUGGCCCUACAAUUGGUAUCAAAGCUUGGGUUGAAGAUUUCUGAAAGAGUAAAAGAUCACAAAGCACACAAGAUGAAAACAAAAGGAAUUUUCACUGAAGGUGGAGUCGAUUGCUCUUUCGUGGUGAUAUGAUACUAAAAGGUUUGUGUCAUGGAGAGAUUGAAGAUUAACUUCAUGGAAUUUACUCAAAGGUGGAGAUUGUUAGGAAGUGUCCCAAAUUCCUAAUUAGUAUAGAUUCAUUUUUUGUAAAGAAUAUUAUAUAGAAUAUUUCUAGGUUGAUAUAUUAUUGUAAUAUUAGACUUCCUUAUAGAAUAAGGAAGGUUGUUGGAAAUAUCUCUAUAAAUAUUCUAGGUCAUGAGGGGAAAAAGUUAUGAGAUGGAGAUGGACCUGUAGAGACUUCCGUAUGUGUGAUUGUUUUAUCUUUGUGUUCUUGAACUAACAUUGCUGGCAUCAAAGCUUUCGCUGACCCUACAUUGAUUAUAACCAAAUAUCUAAUUACAAGAAAAAAAAUAGAGAUUAAUAAAAAGAUAAAAUUGCAACCUCUCUCUCAAUUAAGAUGAAAGAAUAUAAAAUCUUACAAAAUGAUGAAAGAAAACUUUAUUUUAAUGAAUAGUAAGGGAUGGAGACCUCCUUUUAUAGCGUAGGGAAACUCUCCCCCCCCCCCCUCCCCCCCUCCCCCUUUGUCUUCUAAACGAGAUGGGAUGACUUCAACUUUGACACGAUACACUUAGAAAUGUAAUGUUGGAAUAAUUAUUUAUUUAUAUUUCAAUGUUAAGUAACAAUAAAAAUGAGAAUAAAAAAAAUAAGUCGACAAUAAUAUUCAUACGCUUAGUUUAAAAUAAUUUUUUAUUUUUAGGACAUCUAAUAGUGGUUUAAAAUCAUAUUUCUUUUUUACUAUAUUUUGUUAUGAUAAUAGUAAUUAACUCCAAAAACAAUGUAAGUUCAUUUGUAUAUUUGUAUAUAGGUUUAUUUGAGCAUCUAAAAAUGGUUAAUUUGGAUAUAUUUUUACGAUAGAGAAUUCUCUAGCUAAGAAGUCUUCUCUUAUGUACUUGUUUGCACAUUUAUAAUUAUUUUUUUUAGAGGAAAGAAAAUAGUGAGAAAAUUAUAAGGAAAAAAAUUUAUAAAAAUAUUCUCUAUUUUGAUGUCCAUUAAAAAAUUGAAGGAAAUAAAAUUAAGUUAUUUAGAAAUACACUUUACUCACCUUUAUAUAAGGAAAAUGAUGAGGACAACCAUUUAGCAUUUUCCAAUUCUUUUGCUUAAUAUAUAUUUUUUCAUCGCCUUUUUUCUUAAUAUUUUUAUUUCAUUUUUUAAUAUUUUUUAAGAACUAAAUAUGAUCUUAAUUAUCAUAAUUAUUAUAUUUAAAAGGUCUACCCAUUUUUGGUAUAGCGUGUCAUGUAUGCAAAACCUUAGUUGUAUUACAAAAGGGAUUUGUAUGCAUUAAUAUCACAACAAGAAAAGUGAGAUAUGGUCACAUAGUUUUUUUAAGAGGGGUCAACAAAAUUCACAAUGAAAGAGUGUAUAUAACCUCACUACUAUUUGAGCCACAAUAGUAGGAAUUCUCCCACCAAGCUUAUAGUUCCAGGAUUAAUCGGAUACAACCAUAAAACCUCCUAUUGUUGAGGGAUAAAAUUGGUCGCUAUAAUAUAUGGCCCAAUGAAUGCAAGUUGGUCACUACAAUAAAACCAAUAUAUAAAUUCCCUACCAUUUCUCUUUUGCUCACCCUUGAUUGCUAAACUCAUUUCUUCUUUCAUCAUUGCUAGUCCAAUGUGAGAUUAAUCUUUAAUCAUGAAUUUUUUUUUCUCAAUGAUCACUCAUUGUGGGACGUAGCUUGAUGUUUUUUUAUUCACACAUUGCCCUCUCAUUAUUGUCAUUUUAUUUUAUUAUGAUUUCACUCUCUCAUUAUCUACUGUCUAAUUUUCUAGGAUUUUGAAUUGCUAGGUUUCGAGUUAUCACAAGAUUUGAAGGCUUUUCAAGCAUGACUUCUCCAUCAUUUUUCUCUUUUCUAGGGUUUUCUAGUUGAUUUCUCCUUUUCCAUUUUUGGGUUUUAUUUCUCUUCAUGUUUUGUGAUUUUCUAGCUUUCUAGAUUUUUUUUUUUAAUUUUUAUAUUAAAAUGUGAGAGGUGAUUGAUGCAUAGGGAAAUCUAGAUUUCAUAAAAUUGUUGAAAAGUAUAUAACUCUAUUUUCCAAACAAAAACUCCUUUGUUUGCCAAAAAGAUGAGGUGAAAGUUGAAGUAGAUAAGAAGUACAGGGAAGGGAGGGGAGAAGGAGGGGCCAUCAACCAUGUAUAGAAUGAGAAAACUUGAGAAGAGUGGGUUGUGUAUUUGAGGGGUGAGGGGUUAGUAUUCUCUAUACUUACUUUGGCCAUAUGUUUUUUCUUUGUCCUAUUUGGUUCUAGAUAUUUUUUUUACUAUGAAUUACUUCUAACAUAGUAAAAAUAUUUCUACCUAGCUUAACUAGUUGUGUUGAAUUCAAACAUUACAAUGACUAUGAGAAUGUGGAGUGAUAGGUAAGAUAAGUAGCUAUUAUAUCAACAAAUGAACUAAUUAAGGUGCAUUUGAAGUGUAGUAGAGUACUUAUUAGCUCAAAAACACAUAAAAAACUUGAUAAUUUUGAAAAGGCGACAAAUGACUAAUCAGUUCAAAAUUGAGAAACUAAUUACUUUUGGAGAGGUACAACUAAAACAAAUAGCUACUAAAGAUGUACAAAUUGAAUAAAUAACCCCUGAAAGACACAUAUAGAAAUAGCCCCUAAAGAGAUACAAUUUGAACAAAUAGCCCUUUACUUCACUAGGGUUUUUCUUAAUGGGUGUUUUGUAGUUCUGAGAUAUAUUUUUAUGAUCAUCCAAGAUGGAGUGUUAAUAAAAUAUGAGAAUAUGGAAACUUAUGAAUGAUCAUCUAUAUUGAUGUAAAUCUCUUCAUAACUCUCUAUAAAAAGGAAGACCUAAUAUUGAAAGGAUAUUUAAUUCUAUAAGAGAAUUUCAGUUUCUUCUUCUUGUAAUUCUUCUAUUAUAUAACAAAACUUAUUUUUUUUGUAUAUUACACCUAAUUUUCCUUUUUAUUUAUCUAUUCCUUAACCUUUAAUUUUCCCACAUAUCUUAAAAUGGCCUUGCAUCAAGCAUAAAUUAGCUAAAUAGUAAAAUAAUAGGUAUAAUAUAUUUAUAUCACUAUGGUAUAAACUUAUAGUACGUUUAUGUUUGGUUUUACAUUAAAAAAUAUAAAAAUAUAUAAUUAAAAUUAGUUAAAAGUGAUGUCUUUUAAAAUUAUUUCAUCUUUAUAUAAAAUAUUUAAAAUAUGUAAAAAAAAAAGGAUUGAGUUUGAAAUAACAUAUAAAAAUACAGAUCCAAAUUGAUUCCAUUCAUUCUCCUUUCCUUUUGUGAUUUUGCAUUAAAGAAACUCAUCCCAACAACCUCACAAAUAAUGCUUAUGAAAAAAUAAAAUAAAAUUAAAGGCAUGAUGAAGUGAAAAGAGGAACAUCCCAAUGAAUGGAGCAGAGAGCAAAGUUCUUGUCUUGAUUUCCAGUUGAUGCUUUUUCCCUGUUUUAGCUCCUUAAACUCUGUUCCUUUCAACUCUACAGCAAAAUCCUCUAAAUUUUCACCUUCUCUCCUCCAAUGCUCUCUUGGAUUUAUGAAAAUACUCCCAUUAGUUUCCUAAGAGUCAAGCCUUUUCGCUAUUUUUUUUUUCUCCCAUGGAUUUUAAUAAUUUUCCAACCUAUACUUUUAGUCAAAUAAUAAAGAGAAAAAAUAAAUAUUGAAUUUAAAAUAAUAAAAAGGCUACAAAUUCAUUAAAUGUAUUUUAAAAAUAUUUUUAAUUUAAAUUUAACUACUUUUUACCUUCAAAGUUUUAAUGAUAAAGUGUUUUUAAGUUAUACUGUUGCUUUCUUACUCUAUCUUUCUCUAUUUUCAGCUUUCUUACCCUAUCUUUCUCUAUUUUCAUCCGUCAACCUUGGAAAAAGACCUGAUUUUGGAUAUUGUCUUUACUUCCUUAUCUCUUAAUCUAUGUUAAUUACAUAAUUGUGUAAAUAAUUAAUUUAAGAAAAAAGUUUUUUUUCAUUACUCAUGACAUGAAAUGAUAAAAAUAAAAUAAAAUAAAGUAAAAAAGUAAUUAUAUGAAUAGCAUAUGAAAGGUUAAUCUCUUCUUAUGAAGGUAUAUGAUUAUAGUAAUGGAAUGUGAAAUCCAUUCCAUCUUCAACCUGCAUGAGAUUGUAUUAUUACAUGCCAAAACCUAUUUAUAGCCAAAGAGAAAAACAAUCUAAGCUACUUCUCGGGACGUACCCAUGGGAGCACUUUUUUUUGUUGUUGUUGUUUCUUUAUGUUGGGACCAAACACGGGUUCAAAUCUUCCUGCACAGAGGUUGGAAAUCUUGCCAAGAAGCCUACAAUUUUGAAGGUUGGGCUUAGGAUUUUGGAUCAAAACUUUCAUAUAUCUUCAAUGGUAUCACGGGGUAUGGUGCUUAAGCCAAAAUCAUUUCUGGAUCAACUUCUACUUUUGACAGUCCUUUCAAAUUAGAGAGAGAAUAGUCUUGUGCACUAGAGUAACUUAUACACAUGGCCCCAUUCAAUCAAUUUCAUAGUUCUAUGAUUUAAAAAUUCCAAUUUAUUUUCUUUUUCUUUACAUUAAUUUUCUCAACAAAUAAGCAGUUUAUCAUCUUCUACUUUUAUGAAAUCAACCAAAAUCUCAAACAGAGCACCUACAAAACCACAAAAAAGGAAAGGGAUCGAAAAAGUGAAAAACUACCAAUUCGAGCUUUCUUUGACAAGAUAAUCAGAGCUUGGAGUGCAAGUUUGUAGACAUGGAAGCUCGUGUGCAGUGGAAAAGAAGAAAAUGGCUGGUCAUGAUCCAGCGAUGCACUAAUCGAGGCUUGUGGGGAUUGGAGAAGAUUGUUGUGUCUUCCUUUGAGCUUUUGCAUUUUGGUUUUUGAAUUUCGUGGAGAUUAAGGGAUAGUUUCCUGGAAAAGGAGGUUGGAGAGAAAUAAUUGAUGAUGUUGCCAAACAAUCUUUACAAAUAACAUCUAUUUUUGCAUUUUUCUAUAAGAAUUUUACCAAGUGGUUGUGCAUAAUCUCAUGGCUCCACGACUCCCAAGUCCCAAACAAUCUAAUGAAGUGUGUAGAGUGAGAAACCAGAAAGAAAUUAAAUAUAAUCAAAAUACAUGAAAAGUUAACAUAAUAUUUCAAAUAGAAAUAAAAUAAUAUCUUGAGAGGUAGACUCAAACAAUCACAAUGCACAUUUGGACUUGGCCAUGUUUAUAACAUUAAAAUUUUUAAAUACAAUUAUAUAUAUAAAAAAAAAAGGAAGAAAAAAGGAUUUUACCUGUAAUAAGAUGAAUGCCAUGGGAGCUCAAAUCUCGUCUUGAAUUUGUGUGGGUUGAAAAUAUGGAGUGAGGUUGUGCAUAAUCACUUGAUCCUCCCAAUCCAAACCAUCCCACCAUUCUUUUUGUCCACGGAUUUGCUCUAAUUUCUUGCUUAUUCCAGUGUUGGAAUCAAAUGGCAGCUUCCUCAAACUUGGACAUUGAAGCACACGGAUGUAUCUUAAAGAUGGAAAAGGUAGGGCACGUCCAUAUAUACUUCUUAGCUUUGGUAGCCAUGUUAAAGUGAGUGAUAUGAGUCUCGAGAAAACACCCAAAUGAUCUACCUCAAUUUCUAAAACUUCACUUCUUUCAUCAUCUAUCACUUUUUCCAUUGAUUCACAGAAUUCAACACUUAGAAAUUGAAGGCUUGGAGCACAAAUAAGCCAUGUCAAAUUCAACAAUUUAUGACAUCGAAAUAUUUUGACAUCACAAAGGUUGUUCAAGCAUGGGUGCCUUGGGAAUUUUGAGUAGACCACCACUUCAUUUUCAAAAUUGAUUUUCACAUCUUGCAAUUCAAAACAAUUUUUAAUAUGGAGGGUCUCUAUAUAAAGGGAUAGUUGGACCAGGUUCAUACGCUCACAAACUAAUUGUAGCCAUCUUGUGGAUCUUUGCAACUUGUGGGAGUUAAAUAAUGUUUGGAUGGAUGAUACACUUGUAAGGUCGAUGGAUAUAUCAUCAAUGUGUUCCAACUGCUCUAACUCUUCUAAUAACCUUCUUUCAUCAUAUCCCUUAAAGGCUGACCCUUCCGUGCUAUACAUACUAAACAAUUGCAAAGAGGAAAGACUCGAUACCAUUUGAGAUGGAAGUGACUCAAGAAAAUACAUAUCAUUCAAUAUCAAGCACCUUAAUUUUUUCAAGUUCUUGAGCUCCACAGGUAAGUAUUCAAUACUUGUACACGACAAAUUAAGAUAUUGCAAGGUAACUAAGUUUCUAAUCUCCACAGGUAACUUCAUAAGUUUAAAAUUGUUUGACAAGUCCAAAACUCUUAUAAUAGGCAUGUUUGUAAAGAAUCUAUUUGAAAAUGACUCAAUAAACACACUUGAUGCCAAAAAGGUCUCAAUAUUAGGGAAAUAUGGUGGUUUCCUAUGUUCUUCAAUGUCGGUAUUCCACAAUGAUAUCCUCUGUGUCUCUUUCCAUUUUUCAACUUCCUGAGCUCUAAUCGAUUCGACUCCAUCUUUUACCACAAAUUUGUUCUUCUUCUUCCCAUUUUCGUGAGCCAACCACAAAGCCAUAUCACGAAUAACAUCAUGCAUCUUCAAAUAUUCGUCUUUUUCAUCUAAUGGAGAUAUGCCAUUCUCCAAUAGACAUGCAAGCUGUAAACUUUUAAUAACUUCUUCGCCUUGAUUUCUUGCUUUUUGUAUGUUGUCACAUUCAUCCAGAAAACCCUCCCCAAUCCAAAGUUGUAUAAUAUUUCGAUGAGAGAUUUCAUAAUCCUCCGGAAAUAAAGAGCAAUAUAGGAAACACGAUUUGAUGGUUUCAUCGGGUAGGCUAUCAUAACUGAAUGCCAAGCGUGAAAACAGACGAUUCUCCAUACCUGGAAACUUUGCCGGAUAAUUCUUCAACAUUUGUAUUUUUUUCUCCCAUUCUUCGGGUGUUUUUGUUCCCGCCAUUGCUCGCCCUAUGGUGAUGAGGGCAAGUGGUAAGCCGCAACACUCUUUGGCAACCAUCUCCGCCAGCUUUGGUAUAUCUGGAUGAGAAUUUAUGGUGUCUGCUCCCACCUUGGUCUGAAACAGAGCAAAAGCAUCCUCCCAUGGGAGACAAUUCAUUUCAAUGCUCUCUGUAACUUCCAUAUCUUGGCACACAUCUUUAGAUCGCGUUGUAAGUACCAUCUUCAACUUAUCUUGAGGAUUCAGAGGAGGAAUACCAACUUUGGAUAGAUCCAGCCGCUCCCAUAUGUCAUCUAACAAAAGCACAAAUUUCUUUGUCUUCAGGACAUUGAAUAUUUCUUCUGCCCUUUCAUCCUCACUCCUACCUUCCCAUUUAUCUUGGGGAAUCUCCACUUUAUUGAAAAGAACUCGCUGAACCUUUUCCACAUUGGCUGGUCUGGACACAGUCACCCAAAUCACUGCAUCAAAUUCAAGCCUGGUUUUGAGGAGCUCAUUGUUGAUCCUGGUCAAGAGGGUGGUUUUGCCCACACCCCCCAUUCCAUAUAAUCCGAUACUGCUUACCUGCUCUCCACCAUCUUGGAGCCAUUUCCAGACCUUCCCAAACAACAAAUCUUGGCCCACAGUCUUUUCAAGCUGCCUCUCCAUCACGGGAGGACUAGGCAAAGGUUCAGCAACUACACUGAAAUUUGAGCCCUCCGUCUUUUUGACCGUCACAGCAUCCAUCUUUUCAAGUACCAUCUUGCCAAGAUUGUAGCUAGCGCCACAGUUUUUAGGAUAACAGGUUCCGAGACAUUUCUUCUGGAUUUCUUCGUCUCCUUUCGCCAAUAUUUCCUCCACUUCUUUUUCUAUGGCUUCUACUCCGCGAAGCCAGCCAUCAACUACACGAAGACGCUUCUUCUGACGUUUCUCUUCACGUUCCACCCUUUCCUUCACAUCUUCGUACAG
rnacentral:lncRNA from 1 species